rnacentral:lncRNA from 1 species
UUCCUUUUUUUUUUUUUUUUUUUUUUUUUUUUUUUUUGCAAAGAAUGCUAUAUGAUUCCCCUCCAUCUUUCCUAAGUUAUUUAAGUUGUCUUAGAGCUCGUUUAGAAAUGAUUUUAAAAAGGCCAAUAAUCACUUUUGUGGAGAAUCACUUCUCCAUAUAAUCAGUUUAAGUGAUUUUAACGGAGAAUGACCUCCCAUGUUCUUUUUCCUAUAAUCACUUAAAAAAUCACUAAAAAUAAUUAUAUAGAGAAGCAUGUGGCGAGCUUCGUUUUUAUAAUUCAAAUGAGCCCUUAGAUGAUCUUUCUAGGACAAGGCAAGUGUCGUUUGUAUAAUUCCAUUUAGGCUUUGUACCACCCUAAUUACUUAAUAAAAAAGUAGAAAAAAUUAUAUUACAGGCUUCCGUUUCCAAUUUUAGCGAUGGGCUUGUUCUUUUGGUAUGGACAUGAUUAUGUGGGAAAGACAAGAGUGUGUAUGAAUGGAGAGAAACUCUCAUGUAAGGGUAUAACACUUUUUGCUAUCCCCGACUAAUAACGCAGUGACAUGUAGGAUAACUUUUCCACGUGUCAUUGUGUUAUUGGCCUGGGAUAGCAAAACAAUGCUAUCCCUGUUAUAGGUAAGUUUUUUUAGUAUGAAUGGCUUACCCCGUACAUGCCAUGAGAGUUAUUUUGAGCCACAAGAACGAGUGAAUAGAACUGUCUGCAUUGGGCUUUUUCCAAUUGUAAACAAACAAUUAGCUAAAGCCCAAAGUACAUACAUUUAUGGCAUAGUACUUGCUCCCUCCCUAGUUGCGGAAAGAAAAUUCGAAUUUAGGUGCAUAUCGUAUUAAUUUCUUUCAUUGAAUUCACUUGCUCCCUAAUAUCAAAAAGUUAGCAUGUCGUAUCAAUUUGUUAUGUGGAGUUGACUUGCUGCCUAUUUGUGAAUUGAGCCAUGCUGCUUAGUAAACUUGGAAAGUUUAAGAAACUCAUUUUCAAGUUCCAAUUUACAAGAAGUUGGGGUCGCUCUCUCGUUCAUGCGAGGAGAACCUUGAUGGUUAGGGUUAGAGUUUCUCUAGUUUUCUUUACUCAUUCUAUGUGCCGUCUCUCUCAGUAUUCUCUGAUUGUCUUUUUGUGUUCUUCUUGAUGAAUUGGGUUUGACGUUUUUUUCGCUCUUUUGUUCUUCGUGGGAUGGCUGCGUUGGCUUCCUUUUUGGGUUCAUGAGGAGCCAAUCGCUGGUGAGGGGUCUCCAUCUUAACGCUAUGGAGAUGGCCAUCGCCUCUUUUGCUCAAGGGGAUGACAAGUAUGCGGCACCAAACGAGAAUCAGAAGCGUGCGAAAAUUGGUGUUGGGCAUCUGAUUGUUAGUGGCAUGGAUUUUUCUGAUAAGCAUAGUUUUUGUAUCAAGGAUUUUGUUGACAAGGCAGAGGAGACCAGCCUAGAAGGGUCUCCAAGAUCUCCCUUAAUAAUUCUCCUAUGGAACGUUCGUGGGCUUGGCAACCGAUGAACGUUCCUAUUAUGAAGAUCUUUCUUUGGAAUUUUCUUCAGGCUAAGAGGCCAAUCUUGGUCUCCCUUGCUUGUCAGUUGGUGUUCUAGAUCAAGAAAAAUAGUGGUGGCGGUUGGUGUUUAGCUGGAUCUGUUAUGAUGCUUACAAUACGUUUUUGACUCUGUACGAAGAACUAUGAUGCUUUCUUUAGAUCAUAAGAGGCUUUCUUUGACAGUAUAUGCGUAGUGAUGGGAUGUGUUUCAAUGAUUUUGCGGUUGGGUGAUUGGCUGGAUCUAUUCUGUUACCCAUAGUAUGUUUUUGACUAUGUACGAAGAACUAUGAUGUUUUUUCUAGAUCAUAUGAGGACUUCUUUGACAGUACCUAUGUAGUGAUGAGAUGUUUUAAGGGUUUUGUGGUUAGGGAUUAGGUUGGUUUGUUUCGUAUAAGUUGUUUGACUCUUCUAUUUAGUCAAUAGCAUGGGUGAUACUCUUUUCUACCCCGAGAUUUUGUUUUUCUGAGAGAGUUUUAACGAGGCCGCCGUUAACAUGCUAGUUCUUACCAUGUAAUAUUCCUUUUGGUUUAAUGAAAUAUCAUCUUUUCUUUUAAAAAAAAAAAAAAUCCAAUUUAUAAAAAUAAAUGUAAUAUUUUUCUAUAAAAUAUAUAGAAAAUCAUUAGUGGAAAUUUUUUUUUUUUUUACAAUAAUAGUGUAUCCUUUUAUUUUUGGUUUUUUCAGAAAUAAAGUGGCCCAAGUGGGGUGCCACGGCUUUUUAUGGAAAACGUACAAGUGCUUGGUCCAAAUUGCGGUGGGGGUGACGAUCGAUCUCCAUCUCCAAGCCUUCUAUUAAAGGCAACAUUUCAUCCCUUUUUCUUCAUUGCAGGCUCAUUCAUUCAUAGCAAUCCUGUAUCUUCUUUUUCUCAGGCGGGACACAUCCCCAGUUUGUGCGUGAAUCGAACCCCAUCACAGCCGUCCAUCUUUAUGAUCACGAUGUUAACUCAAUCCAAUGGUGUUAGAUUCACGCACAAACUCGGGAUAUGUCUCCUCUUUAUAACACUGCCGUAUUUCUCUUAUUUCCCUUUUUUUUUUCUUUUUUUUUGUUUUCCAGUUACUUUUCGUUCCAAAAAUUAAAAAAACCAUUCAUUUUGGCGCCAAUUCGGAUUACAUUUUCCCUCUCAAUUAAUCUGUUCACUCAGUCACAGACUCACAGUAAAAGAAGACACUCGAAUUAGCGAACAGAGGAAAAAUCCCGGGAAUUCUGAUGGCUUCAGCUUCGGAUUUAGGGUCAACGGAUGAUUACGAGGCGUUGAUGUCGAUGACCGAUGUGGAGCUUUUGAAGAGCGCGUGGCGGCAAGAGAAGGCCGCUCCGGAGAUUCUUCAGUUCGAGAGUCGUUUGAUUAAGAGAGUCAGAGAGCAGAUCCAACUGAUGGUAAAUUCCCUGAAACUCAAAAACUGGGAGGAAAAAAAAACCCUAAUUCCCUUGUUUGGUUCCUCAGAAAUUGACAGGAAAAUGAAAGCAAAAUUCAAUUUCACGGUGGAAAUUUCUAAUCUAACUUUCCUGCUUAUGUUGUAUUGUAUAUGUACCGUAAAACAAUCAGGAUUUUAGGUGAAAUGAUGAGUACCUGAGAAAAAUUACUAGUGCUUUUUUCUUAUUUUCUUUAUUUAUUUUAUAAUUCUGAAUUUUUUUUUUUAUAAUUCUGAAAUUUCAAAAGAAAAUGUUUAGUUUAGGAUCUCAAUUAGGUUGGAAAGGGUGCUAGAUGCUAUUAUUGGGUGGCAAACAAGCUUUUGCAAGUAGAUGAAAUGCUUGUGCUAGUAUUAUUUGCGGUUGUGUUAUUGCUCACUCCAAUUAGAUGCAUAUAAUUACAGGAAGAAACCGUGGAGGAAUUUACUGAAAGUGGUUUUGAUCCACUUACUGUGUCACUCUACCAGAUGGAUUUGGACAGGACUCAGUUCUUGUUGAGAUCUUAUCUACGAAUUCGUUUGCAGAAGGUGGCCAUCUUCUCUCCUUGUUUUGUUAAUGCGUGCAUGCUUGUUUUUUCAUUGCAUUUGAAAUCAACUGUUUGGUUCUUUGAUUAUAUUUUUGGUAUUAGAGAAACAGGAGCACUCACCAUGCUUGAUGAUAAUUUGAUCAAAAGAAAGUCCAAUAGUGAAUUCUAAGUUGCUUGCUAUAAGUAUUAGGAAAUUGCCCGAAAUCUUCCAGUGGUUUUAGAUGUUAAAUUCCACAAGGUUUCUCAAGAACGUGUUGGUUGAACUUUGCUGUUUGUAUUUCAAGCAACUUCCUUUUGCAGAUUGAGAAAUACAUGUUUCACAUCUUUGCUACCGCCGAACUUCUAACACGUCUAUCUAAAGAGGAGAAAUGGUUUAUUGAAAGGUGAGGACUCUAGCUGUUUUAUUAGUUUGUGUUCUUUUAGUUACAGCACAUACUUUAGGUUUAUUGUGGUUUAGAGUUGACAUGGUUAUUGCUUACAGGUGCUGUGUUGAUUUGCAGACGCAUCUUGAAAAGAGUGUCCUGUCGCAAUUGCCUUAUACUUAUCAGUCUAUAUUUCAGCAAUCUGUAAUUAAUGAUGAGACUGACAUGGGUACGGACUCACAUUAUCUUUUUUCAGAUUUUGGUGAUGCAUCUCUGUUUUUUUCCCCUUGAAUGUGAAUGUGUUCUGCGAACAGUUGUAUCAUUUUCUGCAAACUUCUUAUCCUUGACCCAAAAUCAAUUAUAAAAUAAGGUGCUCAGUGCUGUGGUUAAUAUUUGAAUUUUUCAUUCCAAGAUAUCUAGUUGUGUGGUGACCUUUAGUACAAUUUACCUGAGAGGUUUAGAUUUUCUGAUAUAGUCUGGCAGAUUCAUAUAUCUUGCAGCAGAACUGUUUUAAAGUUUGAUGUGAUUAGUGUUUGGAAUUGUGCUAAUAGAAACUUGUAAAUACUGUGCGUUUGCAUUCUGUGAGGGAACCAGCGACAAGCUAGUGUAUGGGGCUGAGAAUUUGUUCCAAAUUCUUCUGAACUAUUUGCCUUCUAAACCCUAAACCCUUAUUUAUCAGAAAACAAUGCAAUAGUUUGUUUGACAACUUGAAAUGCUUAGCUUCCCAUGUAGUCUUGGUCUGUCUCUUCUUGGAUGAGUUCUUAAUGCUCUUUUGGUGUCUUGAUCUAACUCCAUAGAAUUAUCUUCACACUUCACAUGCUUCUUCUACAAUGAUUUUUGUGUACUAUUUCUUCUAGACAGAUGUUUUUCAUUGUGCAUAUAUAAUAGGCAAUUUGUAGAUUAGACAUGUGAACUCAAAUAGUGUUAUGUAUAUGUUUAACUUCCAGUGGCAAAACCGCAAUUGGACACAUUUAUUGUCUGCAAAACCAAGUAUUAUCUUGGACAUAUCCAGCUUGAGGACAAUGCAGAUGGAGAACCAGAUGGCAGGUAACUUAUUAUUCAUAAACAUUUACUUUCAUAGAAAAUGUUGUUUGUAUUCUUCUUUUUUGCUUACUGGUUUCAGUUCACAAUAUGACAGUGGGAGCCAGAAACCAUUGGAGGAGCCUUUUGAGAUGGAGCCCAAUGUUUUAUACUUUGUACGUUAUAAAGCAGUGAAGAAAUUUGUAGAGGAAGGGAAGAUUGAUUUAUACUGAGUAUCCAGCAUCUUGGGGUAAAUAGCUUUGAGACCUCCUCUAUCUCAAAAUAUGAUAUCAUUGUAUCUCCCCACCUCUUGCCUUACCGGUUUCUUGAGAAACUAUUAACAUGGCAAGUCAUGGGAGUGAGUUUUCGAGCAACAUUGAAUUGAAUGGUUUUCUAUCUACGUUUCUUUGGGGUAAAAGUCAUUUUUGAUUUAUGUAGUUAGUUAGUUUUACCAUUUUGGUCCCCAUAGUUUCAAUUGUCAAUUUUAUCCCCGUAGUUUUUCAAUUUUGUAAAUUUUAUCUGUGUAGUUUUCAAUUCGAAGCAAUUCAAGGACAUGUUUCAGUUUCAAUCAAAAUUUCUCCAAAUUCCAUUAAGUUUUGACCACGUGCUCUUCGCGUAUAGGGGUAUUUUGGUCCACUUGAGCCAAAAUCCUCCCAGUUCAAUCAAAUUUUAACCCAGUGAUGCAAAAAAAUUUGAAACCCGAAACUCCAAAAUCGCUCCUAAAGUGAAUCGGAAGAGCUUCAUCUUGUGUUUUACAGUUAGAUGGGCUUGAGUGAAUUGAAAUACCCCUCCACCUUCACAUGAGGGGCACGUGGUCAAAACGUAACGAAAUUUGGAGGAAUUCAAUAGAAAUUGAAAUGUGUGUUUGAAUUGCUUCAAAUGGAAACUACAAAGAUAAAAUUGAAACUAUAGAGACUAAAGUAGUAAAAUUAACAAACUACAAGAAUCAAAAGUGAACUUUGGCCAAAGGUGCCAUCUUUAGAAGAAAAGAACAAAUAUGCUAAUAUGCUGAUAUGGUAUCUGUACUGUAGUAUGUGCUUAAUAUGCCACGAUGUCUUUAGAAGAAAAUAUCGCACACUGUGAUAAAAGGAAAUCCAAAAGAUUCCCUGCAUGUGAUAUGCGUCUAUGGAGCCAAGUGCUAACAAACAAAACAAACACAUAAUAAAAGAAACCCGACGGAAACGAAACAGGACCCCUACAAAUUUUGCACUGGCAUCACUCACUUGAUUCAAAUUCAAACAAAACCAUAAUUUUGUUUCCCACCACCUCGGAUUGCCUGGGAAAUAUAAAAUAAAAUCCUCCUCCUAGUUCUACCCUAGCUAGCUGGAGCGUUUUGCUCCAUGUAAAUAAUUAAAUACAUUUAUUAUUGUUACAUAAACAAGAAUUAAGACCUGGCAACUGGCCAACGACUCAAUGAGAGGACAAAGUCUCUAGCUAGCCGACAUGAUCAACGGCCAAGAUCUUGAGCAAGCCAGCAUAAGACACGCCUUGGUUGUCAUCGCCACCUCCCAAUAUAAUCAUGGCCUUGAUGUCUUCAUCAGUGGCGGCGAAGCCAGCCGCGCUCAUGUAGCUCUUCAAAUCCUCAUGGCCGAGCUUCCCAUCCCCGUCCUUGUCCAUAACCUUAAACGCGUCCUCCAUCACUCCCCACGAGCUUCUUGCACCGCCGCCGCCGCCCAAAACGCGCUCGAACUCGUCGUAUUGGACGAAGCCGUCCUUGUUGGAAUCGGCGACCGACAUCAUCGAUCCGAUGAGAUUUUCGUCGGCGCCGGAGCUGGAAAAUCCGGCGUAGAAGGCCCGGAGAUCGUCUUUGCUGAUCUUGCCGUCGCGGUCGGAGUCGAGGGCGUCGAAGGCUGGCCGGAAAUCUGAGGUCAUGGUCGUCGUCGUGGCGGUCUCUGCGCAGAGGGUGCGGCCAGAGGGACACAUUGUGAUGCUAAUUGCGGCGUGUGGUUGGUGUUUAGAAACGAAGAAUCGAGUCGUAGACUGGCUCGUAUGGAGGAAAAUUAUUGAUUGAGUUGCGGAAGAGAGAGAGGCCUUGUGGUAUUUAUAGAUGGAAGGGAAGAGAGGGGGGCCCACAAUGGCUUGGUUCACAAGGUUUUGAUUGAGAGGCUACGUAUGGAGUGACGUAGUUAAGAGUUUUGGGGUGGGGGUGUCCUUUGUUUGAGGAUUUUGUGUGUGGGGAGAGAGACUUUCAUAGCUAAGUUUUUCUCGUAUGGGGGACUGAGACAGACUGGUAGGUUAGUCAUUUAUUGGACUUUGACGGAGUCCACGGCCAAAAGGUAUGCAGAACCAGCCAACAAGGAGGUGUCUGUAUCUCCUCCAUAAGUAUCUCCUCCAUAAGUGUGGUUCAACAUCAAUUUUAUUCCAUGAGCAUGACAACCAAUGGUACACGACAUCACUAAUCAAGUAUCAAGAUUUGAAUUAGUUGGAUUUCAAACCAAAAUUCCUACAUAAAAUCCCAAAUGCUAAAAUUCAUACAUCAACUCCCAAACUAUAGAAUUCAUAUCUAAAACCCCAAAAUAUCUUUUGUGCAUUCCAACGGUAUCUAAUUCUCUCCACUCCUUUCACUUUAGGCAAAUGCUCAUUGUAUAAUUUAUAUUGUUACAUGGACUUGAUGCUACAUGUCCAUAUGCCAAUCAAGUAAUGAAAGCGAGUUACCCUUAUGACUAUGGUCGAGGGUUUCGUAGCAGUUUGAAACUGAGCAAAAGAGCCUACUGACUAUGGGACUAGAAACACUUUCACGAAAACAAGAAUAUUACUAUUUUGUUAUUUUCAACUAAUAAUGCUAUGAUAUACGUGAUAACUUUUCCACAUGAUAUAACAUUAUUGACUGAAAUUAGCAAAAUAGUGUUAUUCCCCAUUGCAAUCAAAAUUUUCUACUAUGGGACAUGUAAUGGCUUGGCGCCUUAAGUGAGACGCCUAUGCAGAACAAAAUUUGGGUUUUCUUCGCCCUUUUUCUCUUUGGGCCCAUGAGGCCAGGGAAGUUUUGGGUUUGUGGUUCAUUCAUUUGGGUUGUUCAUGUUGGAAACAAACGAGCCGAAAUAAUGGCAAAUUCGUAAUAUCAUUGAUAAGAAUGGGCUUCUCAUAGGCUAAACCUCAAAUAUUUCAAGGGCGAAAACCCUAAUUCUAAAUUCCAGUAUUUAAACACAACCACGCCACGCCUAGCAAACACCAGUAGCCUUAGGUCGCAACCUCCCUCCAUAUUCUCCCUCCCCGCUUCUUCUCUCUGUCCUCAUCUCUUUUUCUUCAUUUAAAAGAAGGAGAAAUACCUGUGGUGAUUGGUAUAGUGCCUCUUGAUGAAGCCUUGGGUCUUAAUUAAUUUGGAGCCAGGGUUUUAUAUUCUUAUAAAGAAUAGGAGGUAAAUUUCGUGCAGGAAUGUUGAGUCACUUCGCCUUUGAACAAUUACCAGGCUCAGUGAAUAACACCCUGCCACAUCCUCCUCUUUUUCUAUUGAUUUUGCCCACUUCAAUUUUAUUUUUGCACGAUUUUGAAUUUCUUUGUUGUUUUUGCAAUUGAUAUUUUCAGUUUGAUUGUAAAAAAAGAUUCACUGCAUAUGGGGUUCCGAUGAUGGUAUGAAAUCUUUGAGACCUGAUCAUCCAAUUGAUGAUAACUAUAAGCAUGGUUUCUGAGGAUCCCUUAUUAAUGUUAUUAAGAAAUUCAAACUUUCCCCAUCAAAAAACUCAGAUGGGCAUUUCGUAUUUUACUUUGAAAAAUGUGUUGGAUUUUGGACUGAUGAUAUGCAAGUAUAGAUGAUGAAGUAUGCACUGGGCUCUGAGCAGCUCUAUGAGCUUCUUUUUGAUGGACAUUGCAGCCUAGAAAGCUAAUCUGAUAUACUCUCUGUCUUGUUCAAAAUUCAUUUACCCUUUUCCGUACUUGAGGUAGCUAACCCAAGCCAGCCCAGUUUUAUAAAAACUAAUUAUAAUUUAUAUGCUUCAUUGACAAACACAAAGUAAGACAGUAAAUUGCACUGGAAUAUGUGAACUCACACGGUUUAAAAUGUUUCCGGGACAGAUGAAGAUAAAUUAACGUGCCCCCUUUAGAACACUAAAAUAAAUGAAACGAAAUAACCUAAACCCUAAAAUAAAUGAAACGAAAGAAACAACUUGUACCCAAAAUAAAAGGAGGAAAAAUGUAGUAGGAUCCUAAUAUUGAUCCGGUAUGGAUGUUUCAGAAUGAGAAAUAACAGAAUGAUUACAUACAGCAAGCAAAUAUGCAGCAUUGACGUCUUGAUGUUCCAUUUAAAGUUAUGGUUGUUUGUCAUCGGGGCGAUCCUAAAUGAUCAAGUCGACAGAAAUUCUUUUGGAAAUUUAGAGCCCAAAAUUCUGCACUUGAGAUUUUGAAUGAAUGACAGAUUAGGAUCGAAAAAACAAAUAUAGAGAGAAAAAGAAAAACCUCUAGUAAAUAUUAAAGGAAAAAAAAAUAAUGCUACUCUUAUUACAUUUGUAAAUUGUAUAAGACAUUCCUAUACCUCUUUAUGCGGCAACUGAGGUGGACAUCCACAUCAAUUAAAAAUAUUUAAUAAUUUUCUUUUCUUUUAUGAUUGAUUCAAAUAUUUGUUUUUCUAAUUUUCUUAAUUAAAAUAUUCUUCAAUUAUUUAAUUGAUGUGGCAUAUUAUGACAUAUGGUAUAGAAAUAUAGGAUAAAAAUGUGGUAAGUGUAGAAUUACUACAAAAAUAAAAUGAUGAAACUCAGUACUUAGUUAUGUUUUUGGGAGAAAAUCAAUAUUCUUAGUUCCAGACUUUAAGUUCAAUAGAAUCAGGAAAGCUAUUAUCACAAGCAGUAUAUUUGUACCCAAAGAUCAAAACUAGAAAUUCCUGAUGUGUAUUUAAAACCAAGUUUUAAAAGGUAAGUACAGAUAGAGUCUGGUCAGUCAUAAUUCCAAGGCUACAAGCUUCAUGCUGUAAUCUGUUCUAGUUAACUAACUUGGCUAGAACAACGCAGUGACAGAGCGUGCUGCAAAAUUUUCAAAGUUUCUGUGUCUAACAUUUUGCCCCUGCAUUUCUUCAGUGUGAGAGACAUCUGUGCCUCGCGAAUCAGGGUUGAUGGGUAUCCGUUUUGCCAUAAAAUAUCUAAACUAGAGUCAGCGCACGGGAGAUGAAAAGAAAAUGACAACAAAAUAUACAACGAAUCCGGCAAUAAGAAUCCCCCCAUAGAUAUAAGUUUGAGAUGCCUGCACAGGAUAUUUGUACUCAAUGUCGCAGCAUUUCAUCUUGUCCCUCUCAUUGGCCAGAACAUGGUCUACGUACCUGCAUCGUGCAAAUGAUUAUUAGCAAUUAAAUUGAGAAACCCUGCUCCACUGAUCUUCAGGUUCCAAAAACCACUGAUAGCCUUUUACUGCAUGGGAAAUCACAAUACGAAACAAAACUAAACCCAUACAAUACAGCCACUUACUGCUGGGUAAAUAUGGAACUCUGGAGAAUUUCCGAACUGUUCAAAUGUGCAUCUUGUAAGCGAUGGCCAUAUAACGAUGAAGACAACUCUACAAGCUGUUCCUCAAGGGUCUGUUGUUUAGAUUGUCUUACAUGAGUUAAUAAUCUUCAAGAUGUUUGAGAAACACAGGAAUUUUAAAAGUAGGAAUGACUUACAUCCAAGUAGUUCUCCAAUCUAUCAACUAAUUCGUGUGGGAACGGUUCAGGCAAGUUAGUUGUCUUUUUGUAAAACUUCUCCACCCAUAGUUCAGUGGUUGUUUUGUUCCUCUUUCCCUUCACUGGUUCACCAAGCGGAGUUUUUAGAUACUGUGCUGCAAAAGUUUGUACAGCCUGCAGAAAAUUGGAAACCAUAUACGCAUAAAAUCAUACAACUAAUUUCUAAUAAAAGCCCAAAUGAAAGAGCAAAUUACCUCUGACGUCUCACGAAUUCUGUGGAGAGCAGAAUCUACACGUGCAUAUAUUGUGUUCCUCUGCCAAAAAGAUUAACAAUUACUUUAGAUAUCACAAUCUUAAAGAAUGUGUCUAUACAUUUUUAUGUCUGUCUGUGUGUGCCAACUUGCAAAUAUAUGGUCAUCUUGAAGCAAAUGCUGAAGUGUCAUUUAUGAUAGUUGUGCAAAAUUUGGCAUUGUAAGACUGGCCUUACCAAUGCAACAUCCUGAAGCAUUUGACUGACUUGAGAAGUAUUAGAGAAUGGUCCAAAUGGAUGACAACCUGCUGCCCAAAGCCAAUUCACAACUGACCUUUCAUGUACAUGAGAAGCCUUUUCAUAUGGUGCACUCAACCCGCCAACAGCGGAAGCAAGUCCUGCCAAUAUAUGGCGCUGUGCCUGAGAUGGAAAGGCAUGCCUCCUCUGAGUUUCUGAAACAUAACUGCGCACCAAGACAUUUCAACAAAACAGUUAAAAAAUUCUUAUGGAACAGGAGGGGGAGAAGCACAUCAAAAUCAACUCUAAAUGAAAGCCACAGAAACAUGAGUGGCGUAUCAAUCAGAGACCAUAAUGUAAAACAUAAAACUUGUAUUUUGCAAUGAAGGAACUGCUGUAGUUGGUUCUUAAGAAAAAUCACAUAGAUCCUAGAAAUGUAAUAAAUUAUACAAUACUUCAGAGUUUAGACAAUUUCACUGGUUGAAUGAUGUCCUAAUUUUACCAGAAGUAUAACUAAAUGCUAGGAGGGCUUGACAUUGCCUAAGUUAAAGGUGUUACAGAAUAUGACAAGAUAGUUUCAAGUAGUUAGAAAAGCCACAAUGUACUAUGCUGAACCCUGCACAGACUUCAAAGUAAAACAGAUUUGACUCAAUACCCUUCUUUGAUGUUUACCCAUCCACAUGACAUAUGUUUUAACUAGGAAAAGUUAGCAAAAUAGCUGUGACUAACCAAUACAUUAUAGUGAUUGAAACACAAACAGUACAUGUUCAAUGAUGCUACAAUGCUGGAAGCCUGGCAAUAAAUCACUGUUUCCUCACCUAAGAGGUAUCUUUUCAUUUUGAUGCUCAAGUACAAUCACUACAUCUUUGCUUGUCCAUACAAGACUUUCAUCUUCCAUCAUAAGGUGUGGAUCCACAUCAGCCAAUGAUAGCACAAAACUGUGGAAAAAAAAGAAAGAUAUCAAACAAUUAUUUACAGCAAUCAUUACAGAUUAAUUUGAUGAGUGAUGCAUGCUAUAUGUUGCUAGCACUGUCGUAAAAAACAGGUAAGGACACCCAGAAUUACCUCCAAACUUCUAGUUACCAGAGAUAGGUGACAGUACAUGUCAUUAAAAAUUCGAAGCAAGCCUUGAAAAGUUAUAUGCAACAGAAAUCUGAAUAAUUAACUAUAAAAUUCAAUGAUCAUAUCUUCAUGCUAAAUUUCUGGGUAGCAGGCUAUACAUAAAAAUGCGGAAAUAGUUAAGCAAGACGGACUCAACAAAAGCAUGUUACAUGUAAAUUAUAUGAAAGAAGAAUGAAGACACCAUUAUGAGAAUAGUACUAAAAUUAUACUGCAGGGGAACUCAAGGUGGGAUGCUCACACAGGAAUCACUCUUGUUCCAUAAGUUCGGUAAAACUCUCCUUGUUUCCUUUCUAGUCUUUUUUUUUUCUUUCCGUGCUUUGAUUCAUAAGUGGACCAAAGAGGUUUAUGCUUUAGAAUAGAAUCACUUGAACCCUCGGAGUCAUCUGCCCAAUGCUGGGAAACAAAAAGUACAAAAAUUAGGGCAAUGAAGACAAGAAGGGAAGAAAAAUCUACUUAGAGCUUAAUAACAGAAGAAACAAGUCUCAGAGAACAAAAAUCAAUGUGAACAUUUGUUGCACCACAUGCAAAACAUGUACAACUGUAUCAGAUUUGACCAACCUGGCGGAGGAAAAAUUUACUUGAAAGAUUUGGGUCAGCCACCUCAAGCAAACCAGCAGCAAGCACAUCAGCAGAACGUUCCAUCUCCUGGAAUGAGCAUUUCUCAGUGAGAAAAGAAAAAUAGAACGUACAUAUAAUCUCACUAAUUCAAAUGCCAUCUAGGAAAGAAGCAUGAAUUUUUAACUCAAAAUAUGAUGACAUCUAAAUGUAAGGCCAAAAGUACACAGAAAUGCAUAUAGAAAGACAUUCAUGACACAAUUUUUCACCAAGAACCUCGCAAAUGGUAUGUAAAAUAGAAAUGAAUAAUUUGACACCAAAAUCACCGGGUAACGAAAUUUGAUGACAUUAGGAUAAAUAAAGAAGUACCCACUUCUUUAAGAAUAGCUCCAUCCAGAUAUGUCUUGGUAUGAACAUGGAAGCGCCCAUCGUUCUUAGUUUCUUGCAGGGAAUGGCUUCUCAUAGCUUUUGAAACAGCAAUCGACAACUUCUCAUGGCGAUGUAACGAAUGUGAACCCCCAACAAUCACAACUUCUUGCCCAGCAUGAACCAUUUUCUUCACCUGAAAAGGACAUAUCAAACAAAAAUGGAAGUGAUUUUGGGUUUAUGUAUUUCAAAUAAAAAAUAUGGAAUUACUCAUGGGAGAGGGUUGCUGCGACUGCAUGAUCCUAAAAGUGAAAGAGUUAUUCUUUCUUUACUCUGGCACUCGUUAACAUAGGCAAUCAUGAAGAUGUUGAGUUAUCCCAGAGAAAACAACCCACCUCUGCCUCAAUUGCUUCAAUAUUUAUACUGUAGUUGUGGCCUUUAUCUAUAAUGUUGUAGCGAUUAUGAUUUUGGAGGACAAUUAUUGGUAAAAGCAGCCUUGUUGUCAGGUCAACAGUUUCAAAUCUGAGUUAAGACCAUAAGCACAUGAUUAACAACCACAAAUAAAAAGUGCAUAAUUGUUAUAAACAACACCAUGCUUGGUGUCAAAUCAACAUGCCAUAAAUAGACUGAGUACCUAACAUCUGGAGCUAUAACAUGCUCGACUGUGGUGGAUACUAAAGAGGCAAGUUGUCCAACAAAUACAUCAUGUGUAGGGUGAUCACUAGCUGCACCGAAACCUCUUGGAAACACCACAUUCUUAAGUCGUGGCAAUGUCCUGGAACUGACAGUUCCCUCUUCAGUUUCAAUCUUUCCAUAUGUGCAUGGGCCCGCUGAGAGAUCAAUCACAACAAAUCUGAACAGCAUAGGCAGGAAAUUAGAUUUUUAAUUUCAUUUUAAAAAGAAAAAAAUGCAGAGACAGAUGGUUAGAGAGAGUAACAUAACAUAGUCCUAAAACACAGCAUAUAAUCUAUCAACCCCUUCAAUGUGAUACGGAACAAAUGAAUGUUUCACCAUUGUAAACUGCAAAGUAUAAUGCUAUCUUUUAUUCACGUGAUAUCCCCAAUGUAAAAAUUUUAUUAAAAAAAAAAACACACAAAAUAACAACUCUCCCACAAAUAACUACACCACCUAUAUAGAGACAAAAAUAACACACCAACCAUAUCUCACAACAACCUAAAAGACAUCGAGAAAAUCUUUAUAACAGACUACCCAAUACUUCACAUGUUCAAGCACAUCAUUCCACAUACUUGAAGUAUUCUUGCAACAUGUUUGCAUGUUCAUCAGUCCACAUUACUCUAUGUACUAAGCUUCCCCCACUUUCUGCUCCAACAAAGAGCACAAUGGAUAGGUGCACAACCAAAUGGAUUACUUACACCCUAAAGUAGUAUGCAACUGAUUUGGUAUACCAAAAUCAGGCUUCUUCUACAAAUAAAACUAUGUUAACUAUACCUGCCAGAGCCAAGCCAAACUUGAGAUGCACCUCCUCCAUUGUAUCGAUAGCGAUAAAUGUAGUCUCCCUCUUGUUUUUUCAUAUCUUCCUCAGUGAGCUGUGUAAGUUUACCAUACAUUAAGCUGUCAAGAUCAAUGUCCUUAUUCCUCGGAUCCAUCCUGACCUGCAAAACAAGUGAACACACAGAAAUAAUAAGUACAGUUGAGUGAGACUAUUAACGAAUGGUUUGAGAAAUACUUCCAAAGCACAUUCCCCUCUUUCUUCUUUUGCGGUAACAAUACGCACUUCACAUGUGCAAAAUCAUAUGGUAAAGUAACACAUAAAUUGAAGGAUUAAUGUGGUAGACAAAGCGAGACCAUUAACUAUGAUGAUUGCAGACCAUACCUUAUCAAAAUUGACUAUAAAUAUUGCACUUGGAACUUGCCGAUCCAUAUCAUCAGCAGCGGAAUAAGCAGCACUCUCUGUGUCAAAUAUGUAGGAAUAUAACCUCUGAAAUACAGGCUCCACUAUAGUUGCAUCCACUUCAAACAGAGGUACUUCCCUUCCAAAAUCAGCCUAAAUAUUGAACAACAAUUUAAAACUUCAUUCUCCAAAAGACAAAGUAAUACUCAUAACUUUCUCCAGAAGACAAGGUACAGCAGGCAAACAAUGGGAGUCACCUCUCUUGCAUUUCCUGCAGGAACCAUAACCUCUUUCAGUGCCUUCUCAAGAGCUAACAGUUCUGGCUGCCCGGCCUGUAAUUAGAACAAAUACAAGAUCCAAACAUUGGAUGAAAUAUAUAGUUAAUGUACAUAUCAUAUCAUAUGCAUCCAUAUAUCGAAAAUUAUGUGAAUAAUAUCUAAACGAGAAUGCUACAGUCGGAUAUGAAGCUUACGGGAAAGGCAUUAUAGACAAUUUGAUGCUCGAUAUCGAGAGGCUGUCCUGUCUCCAGGCAGGAAGGCCUAUGCAAUGGGAAGCUGAUUUUCAGAAACUCUUCCAAUUUGUGCGCAUCGACCGAGUACCUAUAGCCUCCAUCAGCAUUGAAACCAAUAAGCACCACAUUCACUUCGAGCGGAACCUGGAACGGAACCUACAUACACACAUAGGAGAAUCACUCACAGUCAGAGUCAUGACGAAACUAAACUAACAUGCAAACAUGUUGAAUUUCUCAAAAAUUAAAACCUAAUUUCAAAAUUGUGUGAUUUUCCUAUUUGUUUUCCAAUUGCUGUUGAGAAAGAAAUAGCGGAUGAUAAAAUCACCUCAGCGCGAGAAUGGAGCAUGCGGCGAACAUCGGAUCGAACGCCAUCUCGGACGUCGUGGAAGGCGCUGUGGUGCCACUGAGGGUGACCUGGAUCUCUCCGGAAAGCCUGAGGCGCCGACUCGGAUUGAAACACAAACAGGCUCAGUGCGAAAACGAAGGCAUGUAUCAUUGGCGUUGAUAUUGGAUUUGAUUUGGCAGCCAUAGCUGCGGUAGCUCAGUCGAAGAAUUAGCUAAACCAGAAGGGCAAUUGAAAUGCAGGCGAAGAGUAUGAGAAAUUACAGAUACUAACGGUUGAAGUUGGACUUUGUCAUGGCUGGGUCAGCUAGGCGAGACUCAGAACGAGACUCAGACUGAGCAGAUGAGCAAGAGAAGAAAUGCUAAAUUGUUAUUCUCAAAUUUGCCCCUACAUUUGCGCUUUAAUACAAUAAUGGACUCGCGAAUUGUGCGGGGUUUUAAUGAGUUUUUUUUGGAGCAACCCGUGCCUGCAACAAUGCAAUACGCCCAAAUGUAACGAGGGCUUGUUUGUUAUACAGGAUUGUCUUGAUAUAGACUAUAUUUAGGGAAUGUUUUGAUUUGGUUUAGUUUGGUCUAAGUUGGAUAACACUUAUUCUGCGUUUGGUGUAUGCUUGAAUUAGGGCAACAGGUCUCCCGAGAGCCCAAAUCCCCCUCCAGCGCUACCAAUCCAACCUGGGCAAGCCCAAGAGCAGAUCCUGCCUAGGCUCAAGCCCGAAGGAGCUGAUGAUAGCGAGCGCAUUUCAAAUUUUUUUUUACUGUUGGAGUGUGAGUUUCAAGCGCCAACGGUAAAAAAAUUUGACUUCCACUUGCUGACGUCAGCGCUGACAGAACCCAAUGGGAAAAAGCUACGUGGUGCUUCCCGCGCUGCGAUGGUUUUUUUUUCCAGAAAUCCGACGGUUGCAAAAAAAUUAUGAAUAUAUUUUUAAAAAAUACCAAAAAAUUCUGGAUUUUUUUCCUACAAAUACCUAAUAAUUUUAUUCACUUUCCACACCAAAUCUUCAUACAAACUCUUCUCCUUCCAAUAUUUUUUACUUUUCACUCACAUUAUUCACUUUUCACACCAAAUCUUCAUACAAACUCUUCUCAUUCCAAUAUUUUUUACUUUCCACUCACAUUUUUCUACUAUUUUCCAUUUGUAUCAAAAAACAAAUGGUCUCUUCUGUCGAAGCCGGAGGCGCGUGGACAACUCAGGAAGAUAUUGUGUUGUGUCAGUGUUGGGUGAAAGUUAGUCAUUGCCUUGUCAAGGGCAAUGAGAUGAAGUUCGCUCAUUCGGACUGAAAUGGCCUUGUCUAGUAGAUGGAAAAUUUUGAAUAGAGAGUUAGGGAAAUGGAGAAAUGUCUUGACAAAAGAAAGGGAGAACAUUCGAAGUGGUCAAAAUCUUUUCGAUGAAGUAAAAUAUUUAUAAUUGCCAUUUAAAUCAAUUUAAUGUAACUAUCUUUUUUUUAUUGCAUAUUCAAUUUCUUUUUCUUGCAUAAUCUUGAUUUUUUUUUUUUUGCAUUUCCAAUUUGUCUAUAUUUUCUUGCAUUUUCAAUUAUUUAUUUAUAAUAGAUCAUACAAGCACAAAUGUGGUUCGGUGUCAUGGGGCAAGGCAAAAAAAGUUUCUUAAAUCACGAAUGUUGGGAAGUUGUGAAGGAUUGUUCGAGAUUCAAAAUUAUUUCCACAGGUCCGCCGGUUGUGUUGAAUGAGACGCCGCUCCACGAUUCGCCAGCAACUGAUUCGCCAUUGGACUCUCCAAUGGAAAUGGACUCACCACUCCCACGUGCGUCGAGACCUAUUAGGAGAAAGGCGGCAAAGGCCAAGAGAGGGAGCACUUCGAACAAUGAAUGUGCACAAUUUUUAGAGCAAAUAACUAAGAACACCGCACUAAGAAUUGAGAGAGACUUGAAAAGAGAAGAAGCGGACAUGGCACAACAUGAAGCAUUUGCAAUUCAAAGGCAACAGGCACAAGAAAAAGACAUGGAGGACAGAGAGAUGAAAUUCAUGGCCAUGGAUACGAGCCAUAUAUCUCCUGAAACAAAGUCCUAUUGGAAGCUAAAACGAAGGGAUGUGAUGAGAAGAAAACUUUUCCAAGACGACGGACCUAGCAAUACGGAUUGGUUAAAUGAUCAAAACCAUUAGGUUGUAUUGAAAGAUUUGCCAUAUGUAUUAAUUUGUUGUAUUGUUUUCUUUUUAUUCAAUAAAGAAAGCAUUAAAUAAUAUGACUAUUUAUUAAAAACAUUUGCGUAUCAAAACAAAGAUUAAUUAAAAACAAACCUUAAUUUAUUGCAAACAACACACAAAACAAACCAUACUUAAAAGCAUAAUCAAAACAAGGCAUAAUUCCAAAAAACACCACACACAAAAUAAAGCAUAAUUAAAAACAAAGCAUAAUUCCAAACAAAGCACUAAUCUUGACUUCAUCCACUGUGAUUGCCUUUCAUCUCCCACAAGUGUUCGAUUAAGUCAACUUGACGUCUUUUGUGAACAUAUGAAGAUUGCAUUUGUUGAUAACGAUCAAUCAUGGGGUUGUUGUAUCGACCAUCCCGAAUUAACUGUUCGUGCUCCAUUGUUUGUCCAUUUGGUCCCAUCGGCCUUUCAUAUAUUCUUGUCAACCCCGAGUUCAUGGGAUCGGGUUCAAACAUCUCUGGAGCAUCAUAAUCAUACUCAUCCUCUACAAUCAUGUUGUGGAGGAUGAUGCAAGUCAUCAUAAUGCUCCGUAGCACCUCCUCAUCAAGCAUUCGAGCAACACUUUUAAUAAUUGCCCAACGAGCUUGCAAGAUACCGAAACACAUUUCCACGUCUUUCCUAUAACCUUCUUGAAAGGCAGCAAAGCUUUUUUCCUUCACCUAGGAUAAAUUUUGUCAGCGAGGUAGUACGCACCCGAAUAUAUAGUAUUGUUGAUUCGGUACGUGAUCUGUAGGGAAUGACCUCUUAAUACAUCGUUGAACACCGGAGAUUGACCAAGCACAUUGAGGUCAUGCUGAGAUCCGGCAACUCCAAAGAAGACAUGCCAAACCCAAGUGUCGAAUGAAGCUACGACCUCUAGAAUUAUACUUUGUUGGCCCUUUCGAUUCCCAUAAUCUCCUUACCAAGCAGUUGGGCAAUUCUUCCAUUGUCAGUGUAUGCAAUCGAUGCUUCCAAUCAUUCCUAGGAAACCUCGAGCCUCAGCUUUUUGUAAAAGCCUUUGGAGGUCCCUAGGAGUAGGUUUGCGAAGGUACUCUCUCGUGUAGAGAUUUUCUACUACAUCACAGAAUCUCACCAAGCACUCUAGGAUAAUUGAUUUUCCCAUCCUUGCAAUCUCACCUACCUGCUCUGCAGAUGCCUCAUAAGCAAGCAUCCGCAAAGCAGUUGUAAGUUUUUGCUCUGGGAGAAGACCCAAAAUUCCAACAGCAUCAUACUUCUGAACGAAGUAUGCGUCGUAAUUACAAAUAUCAUGCAUGAUUUUUUUGGAACAAAUGUGGCUGCAUUCUAUAUCUCUCUAGAAACUUAGAAACAUGAUAUAACGAAUUUGGGAUAAAGUAAUCUUCCAAAAGAUUCUUACCUCGAGACUCCCUACGUCUGUCCACAUUCGGGGCACGACGACGAUGGUGUUGCCUUGAUUCAUUAAGCAUACACACCGCUGCUACAAGCAUUUCUUCCUCUUCUUCAUCGGCCUCCUGAUCUUCCUCAGCACAUCUGAGCCGAAUUUCUUCAUCUUCUCGCUCUUGCCUCUCUAACACCCUCCUCAAGUUUGACAUUGAGAGUAGAAUGUGUUUUGUAAAAUCUGAGAAAUGAAGGAAUAGAUAAGAUAUGGUGUGAGAGGUAUGAGUUGAUGGUGUAGUUUUAUAGAGGGAUUCAGAAGAUAGAGAUGACACAUGGCGCAAUUUUAGAGAGUGAAAAUCUUAUCUGAAAUAUGAGAUUAUAAUUUUUUUUUAAAUAUCUGAAAAUCUUAUCUGACAUGGGACACGUGGUGCAAUUUUAGAGGGUGAAAAUUUUAUCUGAAAUAUGAGAUUAUAAUUUUUUAAAAUAUAUAUCCGAAAAUUUUAUCUAAAACAAGACACGUGGCAACCGAGAAUCUCAUCCGAAAAUCUUUUCUGAAAAAUGAUGGACACGUGGCAACCAAAAAUCUUAUCAAAAAAUUUAAUUCCAAAAUUUUAUCUGAAAUUUUGGGUGAUAAUUUUAUAAUAAAUAGUGACACGUGGCAACCGAAAAUAUUAUCUGAAAAGCUUAUCAAAAUUAAUGGUUUAAAGUAUAAAAAAAUAAGAAACAAAGUACAAUGAAUAGUAUUUGCCCUUGCCCUAGCCUUUUGGGGUGGAACCAAAAAAGGUAAGGCUGCCACUAUUCACAUGAAUAGUAACAUCCCUUGUCUUGCCCUUACCCUUACCUCAGCGUUUUGGGGUGAACAUGCUCUAAGCCCACUAAUUUGAAGGACCAAAUAAUACGGUUCUUUUGUGAGACGGUCGUAAAUGGGAGGAGAGAUGUGCAAUGUGCAUUUUGAAAUUUCAAUCAUGAACAAAUGCUUUCAAGCUAGGCCUUAAAUUUGGGUCAGAGAGAAGGAAGGCAUCUAUGUGCUAUAUUGGUAGAAGGUAGAAUCAAACACACGACCUCAGGUGCCCGGCUGUUACACGGUCUUGAACUGAAGCAAAGAUUGAAAAUUAUAUGAAACAGUUUUGUGUGCUUAUAAAUUACUCAUUCUUGCAAAAAUCUAGUUAAAGAUUAUGUUUUUUUUUUGGGAUCUAUGAUUUUGAAUCUCCCAGAUACAAAUUUCCAGGGAAGCUAGUUGGAUAAAUUAAACAAGGGGCAUCUGCACUUGGUGGCUUUAAAAAUGAUAAAAAUAAAUAGAACAUUGCGGCUCUCACAUUCUGUAUUUGGGAGGCAACCAACUACAACAGGCAUUAUUAAAGUAAUCUUCUAACAUUUAAAACUUUCAAGCCUCUUCACUCGAGCAUGAUCGCAGGAUCCGGGUGGUUUGUCAGUGCUCCUCUCUUAGCCAUGCAUAAUAAAAAUUAUUUCCGAGUGCGGUACGAUCUUUGAAGCAUGGACCAAAAUCGGGGGUGGUGGAGACACGUUUGGUUCCAGAAAAGUAUCAGUGGUCAACAGCACUUCUUAUUGAGACUGGAGGUUCUUCCACUGUGCCUCUGGAUAUUAAGUCAUGGUUUAAGAAUAAAACAAUGACAGUUAUAUCAUCAUGAAAAUGGCGUCGGACUUUCUUGUCAAUUUUCCGAAGAUCUGAAUAUCUCAUUUCUCUUUUUCUUGCAGCUUCUUGGAGAGCAGUCUUUACAAGCCUUUUGGCACUUCCCUAUAUUAAGAGAAAUAGUCAGAACCAGAGAUCAAGAAUGGAAUAAUAAUCACGUUAAAACACAAAUAUGAAUAAAGCAUUAUAUACCAGCAAAUGUUUGAAACUUUAUGUCCAUGUCAUUGCAUUGAUUGUGGCUCAAAACAACUAUUCUUAUUUUUCCAUUUUCUUUUUUCCCUUAGUUGCAAAUUAAAAAGACAAGUGUUUAUCCUUAAGUUCAUAUUUCCUUGGAUGGGUGGUCUUCAGAAAGAGUUGUUCAAAAGAUUCUAUUAACUCAUUCUAGAUCCUAUAAACUCAAGAAGCACAAUCAUCAUCAACCUCUUGCCAUCAGAUAAAUUAUGGCAGCAAGGAAUAAAGAAUAACAAUUUCAAGAAUAUUGAAAUGUUUAGGUUUUCGUCCGAGUAUCCAGUAAAAAAUUCAAAUACUUCAUAUAUUGUACUAAUAGUUUAAGUUCAUUUGAUGUCUACAUCAAGGCAUCAAGGUAGGAAUGAAAUCAUGAAACAAAUGUGCACGCAAAUGCGAGUUACUAAACACGAAUAAAAUGAAAGGCCAGAAUCCUACCGCAUGUGGAUGCUUGUGGACAAUCUCAACAGCUUUUUCAUUACUCAAGUGUUCCCAUAGACCAUCAGAUGCAAAUAUAAGGAAAGAAUCAUUUGGAUGGAGAGGAUGAGAAAGAAUAGUCGGAUUGGCAGACAAGAUAGGCAUGUGCAUUGGUUCAGGAAGUCUGAAUUUUGCAUUAAUUGGCUCCCUGUUAAACUGUGCAUGUUUCAUAUAUACGUCACCAAUAGAUUUCGAUACCUGCACUAAAUACAAUAAAGGAGUUAUUCACAAGAAAUCCCCAUUUAAGAAAAAACAAAAUUAUGAAAGUUUGCAGAGAAGCAUUUCAGAGCCCAAAAAUCCUUUCCCCCAAAAAAUAAAAUGGGGGCAUUAGUCAAGUUAACACCAAUACAGAGCUAAGCUAACAGAUAAAUCAGAAGCUGGAUCCUAUGGGCAGAGGCUAGCAAUGCUCGGACUAAACACUACUUGCUUAAAUUUUUUUUUGAGAGAAUACCCAGGAGGCUAGGACCAGUGUCCUUGCACCAUUGCCCUGCAUGUUGGCUUCAAAAUCAACAGGUACGAAAACAAAAACACCCGUGACAGAACUUUAAGCAGUUAUAAAUUAAUGCACACCUUAAUCAAUGAGCUCUUACAUGAACAAUAGCAUUUGACAAUUACCUGGAUAAUCCCUUUUACUCUCCAAACUCCAUGCUUUAAAACAACAAUUUGAGGAUCAUGUGGGUGCAAAUCUUUCAGUUCGUGCCUAACCUCCUCAAGAUUUGCAUUGUGUUCAGUGGAUAACUGAAUCGCAGCAACUUCCCCAGUGUUUCCCACUCUCUUCCCCAACACAACACGGGAAUCUCCAAGGUUUGCCACAAAUAAGGUCCGCUGACAUAUCACUCCAACCAGACAACAUGACCCAACAGUUGCUACAUUGGGUCUAGUACUCCACAACUCUGAAACAAGAGCAGUAAACCCUUCCUCUGUUCGGAGAAAAGCAUUUCUAAUGGUCUCUGCUGUCACAACCCCAUCUGACUCUGCUGAUAUUGCUGCAUAAACACAAUGCCUAAGAUAGCCAACAUAAGAGCGGCUCAUUCUUCAAUAGUCAAACAAGAAACCCAACCCCAAAAUCACCCACAAAGAAAUAAAAAGAGGAAAUGAAAACACUGCAUUACAAUGAGUGUCCCCCAAAAAAAAAACAAAAAAAAAUAAAAAUCUAAAGGGCUCAAAGUCUAUUAAGCAAAUUGUUGGUGUUAGUAUAAAUUCACUUCCCAUAGGCAUUGUAUGCAAAGAUACUACGUGAUCCAAACUCAAUGACCAAUCAAAAUCACAACUUUAACAAAAAGUACACGAAAAAGUGAAAGAAGAAAAAAGCACGAAAAAUGAACCAGAAAACAUCACGGUUGACAAUUCAAAUCCACAAAUUAACAAUCACAUAUUAUCCACGAAACGUGGCAAAUUCAAAACCACGCCAAUCAAACCCAAAAAAAAAAAAGCAUACAUAUUUAAGAAAAAUGUGAGAGCUUUCGCUACAGAUUGGGAGGGUCGGGGAUCACGAACCUUGGAAAUGUCUGAAUAAAUUGUCGCAAACGUAUCGAGCAGCCUCGGGGCCACCAUGGCCAUCAUAAACGCCGACGAAGGUCCCAAAGGGUCCAGACUCGAUCUGACUCUGGUCCUCGAGCACCUGGUUGGCUUGAACCACGGCCAUGGAGAAAUCGCCCCACGCGUACUUUCCGAAAUCUCGGAACCAAAGCAAGCUAUCUUUGCCAUCUCGUCCACCGCCUCGGAAAUUUGCACCGACAAUUCCGACAGAGUUGAGUCCCUCACCGUUGCCUCGCCCAAACGGCCUCCAGCACAGAGAGAGCAGAUUCAUCAAUGCCUGAAGCAUCCCACAUCUCUCAAAAACCCUAACCCUAAACCCAAAGACCCUGGAGGACUCCGAAUUUGGGGGAAGAGGCUGGGAGGGGAACCCUAGGUCUUAAUGGAAUUGGGGUCGGGGAAGGUAUAGAUAGAUAGGGGAAAGGCGGUGCGUAGGUUAGGGGAUUGGGCGUAGGUUAAGAGGGGAUGCGUAUGUUAGCGAAAAGUGAUGGGAGGGUUGUGUUCGGUGGUAGAGGAACAGGGAAGGCCUCGUUCUCGGCUGUCUUGUGGGCAGAAGAUGGUGUGGGGAAGCAUUUUGUUGGGUGUCACCAUUCAAUGUCUUUUUCAUUUUUUAUUAAUUUUUUUUUUAAAAAAAAUACGCUAAGUAUAUGUCCCUCUUCUUCGUUUUUUUUUUUUUAAUUCUCAAUUUUGGUUAUAAAGGUGUUAAGGCUUGGGAAGAGGAUGAUAAAAUCAAACUCAUAUUGGAUAAGUGGUAAUCUAAUUUUUAUAGUAUGAUUGUGAAUAUGAAUCAAAAUGUCUACAACUAAUAAUGUGUCCCUCAAAACAUUAAACGAACAAAAUUGCAUUAAGAAACUAUUUAAAUGAUUAAAAAAUAUUUUUAAAACUUCGUCACAUUCAUAUUCCUACUCUAAAAGUUGUAUAUAGUUUUUAGGAAGAUACGGAUGAAGUAUCUUCGGUUAACUUUUAUAUAUAUCUUCUCUUUCAAAAGAGGAUUUUUUUUUUUUUUUUUGGUUUGUUUUUUCCCUCAAUUGUUUAUGCGAUCUCUUUUUUUUUAUUUUUUUUUAUUUUUUCUUGUGAAUUGUUUUUGUGAUCAGUUGCAGGGACCGUAUAGUACAAAUUCAGCCCAACAGAUUGGAUUUCGGCCCAUCAUUAAUUACAAUUGUACAACUAUGAACGUGAAGCAUGGCUUACUGCGCAGGGCACUCAAAAUUUCAGCUUCAACUUAUCAGAGAAGAAAGAAACAAGACAUCUUGUUGCUGUGGAUUUUCAAGUGGGGUCGGGUGAUUUAACCCAGAAAAUCAUCAUCGGCUUUCCCUCUCUAUUGGUCUAACUGUGGCAGAAUAGGGAACAUGAUAACCAAUUUUAAGCUCCACCAUUUAUAAUGUUCCAAAAAAACUAGCGUGCUUUGGUUAUUCUAAAUUUCUAGAUAGGAAUUUAGCAAGUUGCAAGUAGCAACAAACGCACAACAUAGCCAUGAGGAAAAUGGGUCCGAUUGGAUGACAUUUACGGUAGCAAAGUGUCAAUCAGAAACAAAAUCUGCCGGAUCAUCAGUUCGUUGUGGCCGGAAGGAUAUACAUUUCUAAUGUGGCUUGCUUGUUUGGUCUGGUAUCCAUGGGAGCCCCUAUCUUCUAGCAUGUUAGAUUUUUACCAAAAUAUGAGACACUACUAGGCUCGCUGUCAAUUCCUGCACAAGAGACCAAGCUUUUGUACAUGUAGUGUACAUAUAUCUUGCAGACUUGCAGUCAACUUGGUCCCAAAUCUUUUCUUGCAGUACACAUCAAGGCCAAAAAACUUUCAUUCGAUCUAUAAGCUUCUACCAAUCCAAAAUUGUACAUGAGAGUUGCAGAAUCCCAUAUUGGUUUGGUUGUGUUUGGAGAAUCUCUGAUCCUGCAAUAAAAAAUCAUAGAGUAAGGCAAAAAAAAAAAAAAAAAAAAAAAAAAAACUUGAGGAGAAAACUGGAUUGAUAAUGCAUGCAGCUUGUUUCCAGGUUUGGGUUGAUGAUCUUGGUCUCUUCGGUUUCAGAUGUUAAAAACACAAAUACGUCGAUGCCGAUCAAUUAGCAAAAGAUAAAGAUUAAAAGUAGUAUAAUUUGGCAAAUGCUUGACUAAUUAUGAAAUGGCAAAAAUCUUGAAAGAGAAUAAGAUCCAUGCUAACAUUUGAAAUGAAACAUCCAUUUAUUAUUACCUUGACUAAUAUAAAUUUCUUGUUUCAUUUUGUUCAUUCAUAAGUCUAUAUGGCUCCCCUCCUCCUAACGUAAUCUCUAAGACCCUUUCUAUCGCCAAAUCUAGAUUUUCUUUGUCCCUCAAUGGUAAUCUUUCUUUGGAUGAUGAUGGCAUAACACUUCUCUCUGAUCUGAUGUCCUAAGAAUGUAACAGUGUCUGCUGGCUCUUCAAUUCUUCAUAACACUGACAUACACGUCGAAAUUCGUCAAUGCAAACUCAGAGACGGCUCCUUUCUUGGUUUGCAAGUAAUAGGAUUCUGAACUCAAUUGGGAAGCUAGCAUAUCGUAAAUUCUGGUGCAUUUCCGGUGCAAGACGUGGUGGUCAACAAUGUGGGUUGGUUCAAAUGGUUAUGAUAUACAAAGCAGAUACCAAAUUGAUCCUUCUACAAGUCCCUGAGUUAAACUCUUAUGCUCUCAUCCUUGCAGUAAUAGAAGGCAGCUUUCGGCCGGCGAUUCAUCCAGGGGAGAACAAAUACGUCAUUCCAUGCGUUGAGAGUAGCUCCACAGAAGUAAAAAGGCCUUCUGUUAAGACCUUUGCUGAAAAUGCACACCCUCCACCUAAAGAUUUUUUUAUCAUAGAUGAUAUGGAUGGCAAAGCAUAAACAUGGAACAUGAAAACCCAACUGAGGAUUCUAAGGAUCUCACUGGUCUUGGGUCACAACAAGUGCUUUGCAGAGGCUCUACCAGUUGAAAGAAAAUCAGAAGUUUUUGGAGUAACAAGCAGGCACCAUGCUGAGACCAGAUGCACCCAAAUUUGAUCCACAAAAGCAUGACAAAAUGUUUCAAGAAAUCGUAGAGUUGGCAAAGCAAAAGAAAAAACUCAAGGAGGAGACUGGGGAUUGCUCCAAAUUACCAGAGAGAUCAACUGCAGAGUAUCUAAGAGAAGAGGAUGGGCAGUGAUUGGAUGUCAUGUUAUAAUCAAAACUUUGCUCAAUCGGUAAGCCGGUGAUGAGAGUAACCAAUCUCCUCCUAAACUUUUUCUCAUUAAAAAUAUGAAAAAAUUCACUAAUAAAUGUGUAUGUCUAAUCUCGUAUACUUAUCUUAGUUUUUUUGCUUUUAAUAUACUUAUGUACGUGUUAAUUACGCAUUAUAAUCAUCUCCGCAAGCAACUUGUUAAAGAUAAGUAUAUUUAAAAGCCACAAAAAAAAAGAAAAAAAAAAGACAAUAAAGUCGAGAAAAGUUCACGUUUGUUUACGUCCCAUUGCAUUCAGUAUAUGUGUGUUGUUAAACUUCAAAUUCUAACGUCCUGUACCGGCGUAACGUAACCAUCCAUCACACCAGCAAACCAAAAUUAAAGAAGCCAAUCCUAAAUCCUAAUAAUAAAUCCCCUAUUACUUUUAUUUACCCAAAAAUACCCCUGAAACCAAACCUAAAUCUCGAAUGUGUCCCUGCAUCUCCCAACCCAAUCUCAAUCAGCUGCUGCAGCAGCAUCAGCAGCCACCCCAGCAUUGCCUUUCGUGCCAUCGUCAUUCUUGUUGUUACUAUUCUCAUUCUCCUCCCCCUCCUUCGUCUUCUUCUUCGAUCCCCCCAAUCCCAAAAUUGUUUUCAAUCUGUCAAACGCCCUUUUCACAAUACACUUACCCCGCGGCUUAGCCGGCGCCGGAUAACGAGUCUCCACCUUCAGGUGCUCGAGCAAACCCUCCAAAGAGGCCCCUGUUCCUUGAAAUGCGUUGAACAGUUGCGGGUACAACUCCACCAUCGACGCCACGAAUUUCCGCUUAACCUUCGUAACCGCAACACCAGCAUCCUCAUCCUUGUAGUGUCCCACCACCACGCGCCCGUUCGCGUAGGCCCUGCACGCUCUCAGUAUCAUGCCCGCUCUCUGCCUAUAGAACGAGGCGGUGAAAGCCUUGAAAUUCAGCGGCGCCCUCGAGAGCAAAUACAGCGUCGUUUUGCAAGUCAAAACGAAGACUUUCUCGUUGUAGGCCCGAGACGCCUCGCAUCCGAACCGGUUCCCGGUUCCCGGUUCGUUGAAGUAGGGCUCCUUGUUGAGAACCAGGCCUUGGAUCGACACUAGAACCUGGAGGAUCGUCGACUGAGAUGGGUCCCACUUCUCCUUCCCCUUUCCUGGCCAGGUGUUCAGCAGGCUGAGGCAGACGUACCCGCUAGCGUAGAGGUUCGGGUUGGGCCUCAGCCCGAAGGAGCGGUAGUGGACCUCGGGCGGGUGGGUCGGGUAAUCGGAGGGGAACGCGAUGUCGAAGAAGAAAAGGGCGUCGUGGUAGGGCGUGCCGGAGGCUCCGACGACGACGGCUCUGAGCAGGUCGAUGCGGGUCUCGUAGGCGCGCACGUAGAUGGAGUCCGGGAGGUGCUUCUCCAGAAUCUUCCACUCCUGCAUGAUCUUCUUCUGAACCCGGCCGCCGCAGCCGCAGCCGUUUUUGUUGUUGACGUAGUGGUGGUCUGAGUGGUCCGAAACGACGUCGAAUCGCUUGAACACGUUGGGCUUCGACGUCGUCGUCUUUGGCGUCACAGAAGAAGAAGAAGAGGGGGCCAUUAUCGUUCCGUUCUCUUUCAAGACUCUUUGGUGAUUGGACGGAUUCUGGACUGUUGUGACUGUGCUUUCAAAUAUUUUUUUUGAUGCGACUGUGCUUUCAUUCAUACCAAAAACAAAAUAAAUAUAAAUAGUCAAGGCUGCGGGGCCCACUCGGAUUAUGGCGUAAUAGGCGGUGAUUAGAGCUUUUCGUCUGAUUUAGGGUAAACAAGUAAUGAGUUAUUGGUGUGGGAGUAGGACUUGAUAAUGGAUUAGGUUGGGCUGGCCUAGUGCCGAGUGACUUGUGGUGAGUGGCUUUGGCUUAUACUUUUGUGCGUGUUUUUGACGUGGGGAAGAAUUUAAGCAAAUUCCUUACAAGUAUUGCUUAUGUUGUACAUUAAUUACUACUCCUUAGAUACUGAUUUUGAUCAGGAGAUCCUUUACUUCAACAUGUAACAAAGUGAGAAACAGUGAAGAAACAAAUUUAGAGUUUUAAUCAAUGACUUGCAAUUUGACAAGUUCUUGAAAUAUGCAAAAUCUUUGGAUGAAUCUUCAAUCCAAAAGAAAAAGGGGGAAUAGGGAAAGUAGAAGCAGCCAACUUGGCAAAGAAGAGCGACAUCAAACAAAGAUUAACGCAAUUUUAACAAACUUUUAUUCUAUCAUAUAACGAGAAAUUCUUCAGUGUGACCGUCACACUGCCGCAUAAUAUUACAAUUCAUUCAUAUUAUAAAACGUGUAUUUAUUUAUUAAUAUUAUAUCAUAGGGCCCUAAAGCAUAAGCUGUGACUUUAACCAAAUAUUAUAAUGAGUUUUCUAUUGAUUGAUAAGGGAUAAAACAUUUACUUUUGGGUUUGGUAAUUUGAUUUUCUAUUGAUAAGAGCCUAAAACCCCAUAGUUUCUUUAGACACAAGUACAUGAUAAACACCAAAAAGAUACCAGCAUUCCUCAAAGUCAAAAUGGUGGAUUGUUUUGUUGGUAAAAGGGAGAAAAAACCAUUACUCACAACACACUAAAAUUAAACAAUGCCUUCAUAUCUUAUUAAUUAUUUUUCACCAGUGAGCCUCUUUAGCAUGUUCGUAUACUCUCUCUUGUUCCUUAACACGUUGUCAUCAUGUGCGUUUUUGACCACCAGAGGCUUAUUUGGUUGAGUAACCCUGCGGCCAUUUUGACCUAUUAAUAGGAACCAGUAAAUAGAGUCAUCACCAGCAUUGAUUUUUCAUCAGUGACACUGUAAAGCAAAGGCAAAUCUCUAGUGUUAUAGUAAAUUAUGUUUGCAGACGCAAAUCACUAUUAAGAUCAUAUCGCUCUUUAUUACAAUAAAAACAAAUCCAUCAAGUAGAGGUAGGUUUGUCAAAUUAUUUGGGCAGUGAGCCCGCUCCUUUGCACUCUAGUUCGAAUUCUCCACGCCAUAAAAAACCCAUCAUAACUGGUACCAUUCCUUCAUUUCAUAUCUUGUUCUUGUUUUUCACAUCUGAAUUCUAAUUUGUAUACAGCUCAAAGUAGCAACUACUAAAUUAUUAAGGGUGAGCAAGAGCCAAGAAGACUUCCAUUACCAUUAACAGACAGACUUCACAGAACAACAGAACGUCCUAAUUUGGACACUGACGACAUAACAAAGUGACAGGAAAUGGAACUCAUUACUUCUGGACUUCAAUAGAGCUGAUAAAACUCAAACAAAAUUUAUAAUUGUAAUUUGAACGACGGAAAAUGUGUUAUUAACCAGAGUUACAUGUAUGCCCAAUAACUUAAACAGCUCAACAUGUCGAUUGCUGGCCACCUGAGGGCAAAUUAAGCUCAUUCCUACCUUUGCGAUUUCGAGAGCUUAACAUAACAUUCUUGUGCUUACAGCAGUAAAUUCUACAACUUGGAAGAAGGCUUUUUUGAACCCCGACCUGUUAUGAACUCUUGCAUCUUCUUAAACUGCUCUUUGGUCAUUCCACUGUAAUAGUCAUGACCCCUCUCCUGAAAAUAACAAUCAAAUAUAUACUCUGUCAUAAAGAAGAAGAAGAUCAGCCACUGCAGAAACCCUUAUAUGAAACGGGAAAGUGCAGCACUUACAGCCAGUGCUAUCCCAGUUUCAUACAAGUUUUUAUGCUAAACAACAUGAUCAAUAGCUGGGUCAAAUGGUCAAAAUGUCAAAAUCAUCUGAGCAUAUGCUCUGUAGAAAUUUAAACCCAACACUUCCAAUAAAAAGUCAAUCAAUAGCCGGGUGGGCCAAAUGGUCAAAAUCAUCUGAGAUUUUGAAUUGGAAUUUAUGGCUACCUUUUCUAGUGCAAGAGCAUGGCCUAGGUCCAGUUUAAGCCCGUCAUUAAUAACAGCCUUGUACCUCAACACCAGGUCCUGGUUAUUUUUCGCAAUGGCCUCAGCUAUUUCACGAGCUUUCUUCAGCAACUCACCCUCUUCAACAACAUGGUUCACGAACCCCAACCUUUCACCCAGCUCCGCCGUCAAAGGCGUCGCUGUCAGCGACACUUCCCGAGCUUUGUUAGCCCCUAUAAUCCUCGAAAGCUUCUGAGACAAACCCCAUGACGGAAAUAUCCCAAACCUGUUAAAAAACAGUUAAAAGAUUUCGGAUCGGAUCGGGUCGUACCAAUUCUGAUGGGUCUGGAUCCAAAAUCAAAAAUGAAAUCCGACAAAAUUACAGACCUGGCAUGAGUGUCCACGAAUUUAGCUCCUUUUGCGGCGACGAUUAUAUCACAAGCGAGCGCGAUUUCGAACCCGGCAGUGACCGCGAACCCAUUAAUGGCUCCGAUGAUGGGCUUUCGGCACCGCUCCAUUUGCGCCACCGUGUCGGUCUCCACGUCCUUCACGUCCCCUUUGAAAACGUCCUCCGCGGCCGUGAGAUCGACUCCGGAGCAAAAGGCGCGACCCGACCCGGAUAGAAUGAUGACCCGGACCGACUCGUCUUGACUGAGGGCCUUGAAGGCUUUGGCGAGGUCUAUAAUCAUGGGCCGGGUCAGCGAAUUAAGCGACUUGGGACGGUUGAUCGUCACGAAUGCGAUUCCGUUGGGUUCGCGGUUUACGAGUAUGAGAUUUUCCGGCAAGGAUUGGUGGCUGGCCAUCUUGGAAGCCAAGACGUCGACGUUUUAGCAGAAAAUGAUCAACUUCGAUUUGGGAUUGGAUUGGAGGGGACCAGAUGAGAACGGAUAUUUGAAUGCGUCGUUUCUGCGUUGGAAUGCGUGGAUGGCGUUAUCGGUGACGUUCAGGUGCCACUUGCCGCCAGGAUAAAACUGACUGUUGCAUGUGGGGUUGGGGUACGGUGGUCCCACCACAUAAUGGAGCAUGGUCUUCACAGGUAUGAAAAUAAAAUCACAGGCUUCAUAGGCCUGAAUAUUGCAUUAAAGGCCCAUCCCAACUGUGCUUUUAUGAUCACGUGGCGCAUUUUCAGGGCGUCUAACUUAGUGAAGAAUCAUUUUGACUAUUGGUUUUAGGUUCCAACCUUUAUAAUACUUUGUUAGUGUACAAGAGCAUUAUCUUAGCUAAAAUUUAGCUAAAAAUAUAAAAAAGUUAUUUUAGGAGUUCUCUAAAAAAUUUCAACUUCAACCAUACUCCUUAAUUUGGAGAGUCAUAAAUGAUAUAACUCUUUUUUGAUUUGUCCAUCUCUAUUAAAAAAUAAAAUAAAAAAUAGUUAGCAUUAAAUAAAUAUUUGAAAUAUUCAUUAAAUAAAGCAGCAUUAAAUUAUAAGAAGCCACUAGGAGUCUUUUCUCUCUUCUCAGAUUUAGGAGCUCCUAGAGGACUCCUUAUUUUAAGAAGUGGAUAGGGAGUAUGGUUGGAAUUGCAUUUUUUCAAUUCUUUCCUAAAAUUUUUCUAAGGAGGUGGUUUAGAGAGCCCAUUGUGGAUGCUCUAAGAAACUCUCUUCUCCCUUAUAGUUUAGACUAUCAUUUGUGUUAAAAAAAUAAUAAUUCAAACUAAUAGUGGACGUGAUUGAUAUGCCACAGAUUUUAAAGGUUACAAGAAAAGAGGAAAUUUGAACUCGUGAUCUUUUUUAACAUUGAGAAGAGAAGUAAUACUAGACUUAUAGCUAGUUGAGGACUCAACACCUUGUUUAUUUGUUCAAGUUACUAAAUGAAAAAGGGCUGUAAUGAAAUUCCAAAGCCUUGAAUGGUUUUUGGUUAAAUAAAGGCAUAAUGAAAGCUUAUUACACUACCACUAAUCAAUCAUUAGCAGGCUCUUCUGGGCAUGCCUUACAAGGUUAAGAUUGAUUAAGUUGCACAACAUUCAUUGGUGAAAUAUCAUUAGUGUCACCAUACAAGAGACGCCUUGCUAUGAUCGCAUUAGCAGCAUCGGAUGGAUGGUAGGGGUCCCAGAAUAUAUACUUGGAUCUGUCCCUACAAACUUUGGAUGGAGGACCGCAUGGAAUCAGACCCCCAAACCGCCCAGCAACAUAGCAGCAUGCAGAAUUUGCAUUUUCAAAACCUGCAGUUAACAAAACAUAAUCACUCUCAUUUUAAUUACAAUUCUAAGAUCAACCCAUAUAGCUAGAAGAAUUAAAUUUAAAUCUCACCAUAUGAUAUGUGGUUCUGGAUAAUGUCAUCUACGAUACGAUAAACAUCUGCAUAAACAAAUUUGGACCCCUCAAGAUUGGUGCUAAGCUCCUUCACAAGGCUCUUCAACUGGAUGUUGAACAAUCGUGCUAACCGAUUCGGUUUUUCGACGCAGAAAUCUCCUGCAGCUAGAGUUGUCUCCCUCUCGAAAGGUAUGCACCCAGUAGGUCCUACAUUUGUCACAAUAAUUUUCCUCGCACCCAAAUUGUACAGCCUCUGCAAGCAUCAUGGAUUUGUUCAUAAGAACAAUCACAACGUAUAAAGAAGAAAAAAUAGAGAGAGAAAAAAAAGAACAUUAACUGUAAGUUGCAGCCUGUAUCUUGAAAUCAAAAUGGCCACAAACACUUCUGGAGAUAUCAACUUCUGCUCAGGAAUUGAGAUAACCGGCGCCAAGUAGUUGUUGAUGAAAUCGUUGGAACCCAUUGUUACAGAGAAGAGAGCCCUGCUGAAUAGCUUCAGAGCUGCAGGAAGGCCAAUCCUGGAGACAAUGUCUUGCCUGGUAUUAGCAAAGUUAUCUAUCUGUGCAUCCAAGUUUAUUCGACCCACCUAACGAUCACAUGAGAUUUUUCAUCACAUCAAGGCACACAAUAGUAUCAAUUGAUUUGAAGUAUCAAAGCUCCAUUUGUAAGCUUACAAAUAUUUUUCCUGUGUCAUUAAGAAUUCCACCUCCACCUGAAGCAUAAUUGACACCCUGCAGAAUUCGAGGUCCAGUUGUUGAGGGAGACAAGUAAGGAGGAGGAAAAACUUUAAAACCCAGCUGCUGACCUGUUGAGGCUAAAAUUAAUCAGUCAUCCUUGUUUGUUGAAUCUGUGAAAGAAGAAGAAGCAUUCAAUUGGGAAAAUGGAGAACUUGCCUAUAAUGUCAACAAUUGUUCUCCCAUUUGUGUAUCGUCCCGUUGGCUUUCCGAAAUCAAUUCCAUUGGGGACAUAGUUGGCCUUGGAGAGUGACACAAUGUGGUUGUUGUUUCCCACAUCAACCAGAGAAUCCCCAAACACAAAAUUGGCAGGAACAUCUUGUGCCAAGCAUAUUUUCCAAAGUACAAAAGAAAUUGUUGAUAUUUGGAAAACAAGGCCAAGGCUAAUGGUUGCUCUAUCUGAUAGGCCACCCAUUACAAAAAGAAUGUAAGGAAACAACGUAGAAUGUCAGAUCAAACCUUGUUAAUAUUACUUGGCCACUUUAUUUCACAGCCGUAAGGAGGCAACAACACCUAUUCAGAUAUGAAAGAAUGUGACAAAUCUUAAAUAAACAGCAGCGCCCAGCUAGAAGUGAGAUGUUUCUGAUUUAUCAAAUAAAAACUCUGAAUUUGGUGUAGGAAAGCAACAUAUAACGGUACUUUUUGCCCAUUCCUGUCUUCCAUUUAGAUAAUCAGAGUAUAAACAGCAUUAGUGAGAGGGAUUAGUUUCGGGCGCUGCUAAGUUCGAGUACUUUGAUCACCAGCUGUUUUCUUCACCAGAAAAUUACACAAGAAGAUUAACCCAGUUUUGAUAUUGUGAUCAUGAUGAUUAAGACUUUUAAGUAGGAGAAGAGUUUAGGGUAAAUAAAACAUACCCUUUUUAAGUUUUUAUGUAUGGAGCACCUUUGUUUGUAAAAUUUUCAAAGCAUGGCAUAAGGUGAAGUAUACAACAUUGAUUGCGCCUGCAAAUUCAGCAACCUCUCGUGAGGAGAAAUCUGGUUUAGAGUUUCAAGUGGCCAGAAUAAGCAGAUUCAAGUGGCUAACAGUUGCAACCCAAAUGUAGAUUCCGUGCACUGCUUGAAAAGUAAAAAGACUAGGACGUCUUUUCUUUCUUUCUUCAACUACCAACGAACCUGAAGGCCUGAGGAGGCCUGUACAAAUUUGAAACCAGUAAGUAACCUAUCGUAUGGACGAAAUUUAACGCAGCAGAGUAAACCAUUCUGCUUAUAAUUUCUAAUUCCUCAAAUAGCAACCCCAACCAAAACUUACAGCUAGAGCACUAAAUUUUUUUGUUCUUGCGUGCACGACAGGCAACAAGGAAAAACCGUUCUUCAAAACCCACUCACACAUGCAGCUUGGAUUAGGUUCCAUAUAAUUUCUCUCAUGAAAAUGGUCAAAUAUGUGGAAAAGGAUUAAAGUACUGAAGAUAUUAAUGUGUUUCUUCCCAUACAUAAAUACAUAUAUGUUUUAUGGACAAGACAUUUAUUCUUUAUUAAAAGACGAAUUAUCAAUAUAAUAUUAAUAACACUUGAAUAUUAUUAUCGAUAAUAUGUGAAUAAUAAAACAUACCUAUACAAAACUCGUCAUGUAACAAAGGAAGACGGAUGUGCUAGCUGCACAAAUAAUAUGUUUGUACUGUAGUUAAUUGAGUUUGACCUCAAGGGCUAAUUUGAGUCUUGAAAUUAAAGUCCAAAAAAGCUUCAUCUGACAUAGCCCAGGGUGAUAAUAUCGCCCUACACAUUAUAUGGUUAGAGCCAAUUACAACUGCAUAAAUUGCUUUUCUCAACAAUUUCUGAGCUGCAGGAAUGCCAAUCCUCGACAGUUGUCCCAUGAUUACUGAUUUGCGUGUCAAAAUUGAUUCGAUUAUUCACAUAAUUUUGGCUUAUAAAUGGAACUUCAUGGGAAUUUUAAAAAGGAAACAAAUAAACAAGAAACUUCAUGAGGAGAAAUCUUCCUUAGCACAAAACACUUACAAAGAUAAAGCCACUGGAAUUGAAAAUUCCAGCGGCACAGGAAGCAUAAUUAACAACCUUUUUCUUUUCUUUUCUUUUCUUUUUGGUAGGAGGGGAGUUGGGUUACUCCGCUCAUUGCCAAUUGGUUUUGAGGUGGAAUCUUAACUUCCUUCAUGGUAUAUAUUAGAACAGAUUGAAGGUAAAAAUGUCUCACAUUGGAAAGUUAAGAAACCUAACAAGGACUUAUAAGAUAUUGAAUUACUCCCUCAAUUAUCAAUUAAUUUUGGGGUGGAACCUCAACUCCUUUAGAAAGGCCAUUAAAUAUUCAUAGCAAAGUUUGAUAUAUAGGUUUAAAGACUGAGAACCAAUAAUUAUUUCGGAGGUGCUACCAAGGAGGGUGGAAGACCAACAAAACAGAGCUACAUUGGAAUUAAUCAUCCUGGGCCUAGAUGACACAGCGCAAGAAGGCUUGAGAUUCUUCAAAACCCACUCACAUGCAGCUUGGAUUCCAUAAUUUAUUUCAUCAAUGAACCAUCUUGUUUUUUUUUUGAAUUACAAACAGGGUCGUCCUAUACAUUAUAUUCAGCUCAUUUCAGGUUCAUAGAUUGCUAGCUCAAGAUUGCACAAGCUGUCUCAAAUUCAUAGGUGACAUAUAAGUUACGUAGCUAUCCAUAAUAUGCCUCGUUGCAACAACACAAGCAGCAUCCGUCAAGUGAAAUGGAUCCCAGAACACAUACUUUGAUCUGUUGGGACAAACUUUAGAUAAAGGAUUGCAGGGUACCAGUCCCCCUCGGCUCCCAGCAAACACGCAGCAUGCAGAAGUUGCAACCUCAAAUUCUAUCAAACAUAACAGAGGUUACUAAUAUUGUAGUUGUUACAUGACUAACUGCAAAUCAUAGAAUAUACAGACCAUAUGACGCAUAAUUUUGGGUGAGAUCUUGCAAUAUUUGAUAAAUAUCUGCAUAAACAAACUUUGCCCCUUGAAGCUCUUUGUUAAGCUCUGCAAGCAUGCCCUUCAACUUCUUGUUGUAUAUCUGGGCCAUCUUAUUUAGCAUACGAGCACAACUUCCCUUCUCAACUGGAUGUAUGUCUUUCUCAAAUGGGGUACACCCAACAAGUGCAACGUUGCUCACCAUAAUCUUUCUAGCAUCCAAGUUGUAGAGUGUCUGCAAAGGAAUUUUUCUUAGUGUGUGUGCUUCUAACUUUUUUAUUGCAGCCAAUAUAUGUAAGUCUUAAAGAAGGAAAUUUAAACGUAAGUGCUGAUUUGAGUCUUGAAAUCAAGAAAUCCAUACAAGCUUCUUCUGACAUAGCCAUGGGUUCAAACUCCUUGAACAUUAUGUCGUUAGAGCCAAUUACAACCACAUAAAUUGCUUUUCUCAACAAUUUCUGAGCUGCUGGAAUGCCAAUCCUUGACAUGAUAGCUUGCGCAGUUUUCCCAUGGUUACUGAUUUGCGUGUCGAAAUUGAUUCGAUCACCCUACAUAGACAUACAUAUAAAUACGUAAUUCUUCAGACUCAUGCAUGAUGCAUGCAUUGCAGAUAGAUAUAUGUCAUUAAUUAGCAUUCCAAAAAGAAAAUAGCUAACGACCGGCAAGUUUUGCAUAUGAAGUUCAUUAGAAGUUUGGAAUUAAGACUAGCUUGCUUCCCUAAAUCCAAAAACUUCUAGGAGGUUAGUUUAGCAGAAAACUUACAAAGAGAAAUCCAGUGAAAUUGGAAAUUCCAGAGCCAGAGGAAACAUAAUUGACACCUUGUAGAAGAUUGUCUCCAGCAGCAGUUGCAGCCAAGUAAGGUGGAGUAAAAUUUUUCAAACCCAUUUCCUGUUCUGUCAUAAGAAAAUAAGAAAAUAGUAAAAACUUUGCGUCCAUACUCGAAUACGUUUCUGCAAACAGUAGAUAUAUAUUAAGUUGGCAGACUUGAAUUCCCAAAGAGAAAGAGGCAGCUAUAUGUAUAUGUAUAUACGUAGUCAUGAAUGAUUGAAUAUCCAUCGAAACGUUACUUACGAAUAAUGUCAACAACUAUUCUCCCAUUGGAAAAUCGUCCUGUUGGGUUAUUCCCAAAAUCAAGUCCAUGAGGGAGAAAAUUUGCCUUAGCUACAGUUUGAAGGUUGUUGUUGUUUCCCACAUCAACCAAGGAAUCGCCAAAAGUGAAAACAGCAGGAACAUUUUUUUGGGCUGAGCAGCUAACCAACAAAAACAAGUAAACUACAAAAAUUUGGAAUAUAAUUAUCCCCAUUAAUUUUAAGAUAGAAAUAAUAGUAACCUUUCUUUCUUUUUUAUAAGGGGGUUGUUAUCCUUAUAUACAACUUUCCGUAUCUGUGGGAAACUUUGUGCCUAACUGGUCUAUGAAAUUCCCUCUUAGUAAAUAUUGGUUGAAUUUGUGCCUAACUCUCUCUAGACCGGCAGGCCACAGUUGGAUUUGUUAUGUUUGCCUCUAUUAUGAUCCACAUUGCCGGUGAUAUUGGAAUGCCAUUAUGUCUAAGCUAAGUUUCAUGGGAGCAUUUUUGCUCACCAUUUUAACUCAAGGUGUAGCCUCACCAUCCUCCUAAAAACUUGACACAUGUCUAUAAGUCUAAUUAUAGUUAACAUUUUAUUUUUUAUUUUCUUAUAACAUUAUUAUGAGAGAGAAAAACAUAACUAUGCUUUUAAUAAAAUUUAAAAUAAAACAUAAUUAUUAUAAAUAAAUAAAUAAACCCGCCACCCACCAAACCAACCUAUUCAGCCACUCCACCCACCCCCACCGGUGGCAACCCCCUUUCCUUCUUGCAGCCGAAAACCCCCUUUCCUCUCAUUGAUGUCAUAUAGGACCUCCACGACGGUCUUAGCAAAAGGUUGGUCAUUGAUGACUGCUUCUUGGGAUCUUCAAACCCUAGCAGACUCAACGAGCUUCAUGGAUUCGGUGAUUUUCUGGGUACUCUUUAUAGAAUAAAUUUGGACUCGGAGUUCACCUAGACCUGGGCAUGAGAUUUAGGGCAAAAGGGUUUUAGGAUUUUGGAGAUAGAAAAUGGAGGUUUUGCAGAGACCCACAUGAUUGUAUUGGACAAAGCCAUUGGCUUUUGUUGGGUUUUGCAGAGAUUGAGCAAAUUCAAAUCUCUAUAAAAUACCUAAUUGGUUAUUGAGCAAAUUCAAAUCUCUGCAAAAUAUCUAAUUAGUUAGGUGGCUGCGGCUGGGUUUUGUUGGGUUUUUGUUUUUGUUUUUUUAAUAAUUAGUUUUUAAUUUUUAAUUUUAUUAAAGAACUAUUAUUUUUUUUCUCUGUCAUAAUAAUGUUAUAAAAAAAUAAAAAACAAAAGGUUAACUAUAGUUAGACUUAUAGACGUGUGUCAAGUUUUUAAGAUGGUGGUGAAGCUACACUUUUGGUUAAAGUGGUGAGCAAAAAUGCUCCCAAAUUUCAUAGGUUCCAAAGAAAAGAGGGAUCAGAGAACCCAUUCAAGAGCUUAAUUCACUCCACUUUACGUGGUAUUCAGGGAGGAAUUGGAUUUCAUACCUUAAUUCAUUCCACCUCAUUAGAAUGUACAUUUAUUAACCAACCUUGCUUUGAAUUUGUAAGUCCUUAAAAGGAAAGGAUAAACAAUUUUUUAUCACAUGCUUGGUGGCAUGUUUACUUAUUAGGGAUGAGAGAAGUCAUGAAUUGAGGAACUUAGAUAAGGUAAUCAAGGUAUGGGAAUCAUAUCAACUAGUCCCCCUAGUUGAUUCCAUUCCCGAUUUUGAGGGUAUUCAAUAACGGACUUUAAUGUGGAAUAGACAUAAGUUUUUUUUCCUGAUGUGUUACUAAACGCAUGAGAAGUCAGGAAUUGGAAUCAUUCCAAUACCUAUGUGAUUGUGAUAAUAAACACGGGAAAAGUAGGAAUUGAAAUCAUUCCAAUACCCAUUCAGGAUAAGUAAACAUGGUUGGAUCAAAAGCUGAUCAUGGCAUUAGUUGAGAACUAUUUCAGUAUUUAAAAAUAUUAGUUCAUUUAUGUUAUUCAAUGUUUAUUGUCUUUGAGAUUGAGGAGCUCCUCCAACAAAUUGAAGAACGAGUGUUCUAAACCAAAUAAUUAAUGGUACUUUAUUAGUGACAAUGAAAUCUCUACUUGUUGGAGGUCCUUUUUAAUUUGGUACUAAAUACAUGAUUGGCAGUCAUUGAAUGAAACACAGUUAUUCAUAGUGGCAACGGCUAAAAUAUGAAUUUGGUUUGAAUGUAUUAUGUUAACUUUAUUCUUUUCCAUAAGGAGGUAUAUAUAAGAGUUUACAUGUGGGCUUUACAAAGAAUUAAAUAUAGUAAAGAAUUAGGAAUGUAUCUCCUAAUUGUACAAUGAUUUAUCAAUUAUAUAAAAAAUAGGAAAUAAAUCCCUUAACUAAUAAAGGAAAUACAAUGAUUUAUCAAUUAUAUAAAAAAUAGGAAAGUAAAUCCCUUAAUUAAUCAAGGAAAUAAAUCUCCUUGAUUAAUUAGGAAACUCAUGUCAACACUCCUCCUCAAGUUAGUGCAUAUAUGUCACCAAUGCCCAACUUGGUAAGUGAGUUAUGAAAUACUCUUCCACAAACAACUUUUGUUAAGAUAUCUGCCAGUUGAUCUUCUGAUUUUACGAAUGGUAGGCAGAUGAUCUUCUUCUCAAUCUUCUCUUUGAUAAAAUGUCUAUCCACUUCAACAUGUUUGGUUUAAUCAUGUUGAACUGGAUUAUGGGCAAUGUCAAUGGCUGAUUUCUUAUCACAAUGUAACUAAAUUGGCUUUCCUAGCUUGAAACCCAAUUCUGUCAAUAGUCUUCUAAUCCACAGUAGUUCACAAACUCCAUGAGCCAUUCCUCGAUACUCUGCUUCUGCACUAGACCGAGAAACCACAUUUUAUUUUUUACUCCGCCAAGUGACUAGAUUACCUCCCAUGAAGGUAAAGUAACCUGAAGUAGAGCGUCUAUCAGUAAUGGAGCCAGCCCAAUUAGCAUAUGUAUAUCCAACAACUUCGAGAUCUCUAUUUUUUGAGAACAUUAAUAUGGGACACACUGGGUGAAUGCAUAAAUUGACUAACCACACUCACAGCAUAUGCAAUAUCUGGCGUGGGCUAAAUAUAUCAACCUUCCAACAAGGUGUUGGUACUGUUCCUUAUUGGAUGGUUCUUGAUCCAUGCCUUCACAUAACUUGUGAUUCAUCUCGAUGGGUGUAUCAGCAAGUUUGCAUCCAAGCAUUCCUGUUUCAGUGAGCAGAUCUAAUACAUACUUCCUUUGAGAUAGAAAUAUACCAGUUGUAGACCUGGCUAUUUCAAUUCCUAGAAAGCACUUCAGAUCACCUAAAUCCUUCAUCUCAAAUUCCUGAGACAAAUACUUCUACUGUUUCAAUUGCUCUCCUGUGUCGUUUCCAGUUAUGACUAUGUUAUCCACAUAAACAAUCAAUGCAGUAAGUCUUCUUCCAUCAUGCUUCAAGAAUAAAGUGUGAUCUGCAUUACUCUGUAUAUAUCCAAAAGAGAAAAGAAACUAAAUACCAUGCAUCGAAUCACACUACCGAUGCUUACGGAUGACACUACCUACGGCAACUAGACUAUCGAACGUUCUCUGUGACUUACAAAUAGUCUAGUUCAUGACAAUGGAGUACAUUAGAUAGAAAAAAGAAGUAAAAAGACUGAAAUACCUUGUUAUUGCGGCGGAGGAAACUCGUCGAAAAUCGCACCGCUGUCUGAUAUAGCCGAAAAUCGCCUAGAUUGCCGAACGUACUAGCAGGAAAUCGCCUAAAUUGCCGAAUGGGAUCGCCGGAAAUCACCUUUCUCAAAGCUCUCAAAUCGCUCUCACAACGCAAGUGACCCCUCUAUCCGGAGUCACCUCUAUUUAUAGAAGAAAGAAUAGACCGGUACACCUCGAAAAACCAACUGACGCCAUUAUUACCCUGUUCUGUGUGCACGCUACUACACGUGGCACUAGCUAGGGACCGAGGCUUUCAACACGCAAGGCGCAGAAGACUAAGAGUCUGCAUGGCCAGUCAAUCCCACUUCCCAUAGAAACAAGCCGCAUAUGGGGCCCGAACGUUGACCGCACCAAAGACUGUCGUAUGGAAGGGGGACAUGUACCGAACGACGUAGCAAGAUUAGGUAACCCUUGGACUGCCUGCAUCUCACCUCAUCUGAAGGCUGUACCUCCCUAAAAGCGCACCUGGCUCCACGGCUUCAUAAAUAUACCGAACGGUGUCGUCUUGCUGACGACAAUCCACGCAUACCGAAGGACAAAGCAAGUCCUAACUGAGAAGCCCUCUUAAUUAGGGACUUGGGGGACUCUUGUUUAUACUAGAAUCGACGACCAAUAAAGACAUGACAAGUGGACAAAAUAUGGCAUCGGCAGGGUAGCCUUCGGCACCCAGAGAUGCCGAAGGCACCAUUAGGGCAAAUUCAGCCUCUGGCCACGUGGAAUGCAUACAGUGAAUGUCAAUAGUCUCACACCGAAAUUCUACACAACAUGCACACCUCCCAAGGCUUAUAAAAAGGGACACAAUUCCCAAAAUGGAGGUAACUGGAACUUUCGGCAUACUAGCCAUCACUAUGUCCAGAUGAUUUACGAAAUUCGUACUUACUUAAGCAUCGGAGAGUCUUCGGCCGAUACUACACUGGUGCCCUAGGUCUUACUGAGUGUUUCUUAUCUUACAGAUCAAACGCUCGUGCUAAGGCCCAGACAUCACUAAGUUGAGUCAAAAAGUGAAAAGUGGUCAACAAUAUAUAUAUAUAUAUACAUGUAUUAUGUACGGACAUAAUUCUUCAGACUGAUGCAUGACGCAUGCCGAUAGAUACAUGUCAUUAGAAUUCUGAAAAGAAAAUAGCUAAUAACCAGAAAUUUUUGCAUAUGAAACUAAUUUGAAGUUUGGAAUUAAAACUAGCUACUAGCUAGCUUCCCUAAAUCCAAAAUCUUCUAGGAGGUUAGUUUAGCAGAAAACUUACAAAGAGAAAUCCAGUGAAAUUGGAAAUUCCAUAGCCAGAGGAAGCAUAAUUGACACCUUGUAGAAGAUUCUCUCCAAGAGCAGUUGGAGCCAAGUAAGGUGGAGUAAAUUUUUUCAAACUCAUUUCCUGUUCUUUUUUUUGGUUUGAAAUUCAUGUUGUAUUCAAAAAACCCCAAAACAAGGAAUAGAGAUACUGUUGAAAAAAAUAAUGCUCAUUUGUGUUCUAUACAAUUCUAGAAAAGUCAAGACUUCAAAAGAUAGAGGUGGCAAUACAAGAAUAUUCUAGAACAAGCUAAAUGCUCAAGGUGGUGGAACAAAGCAAUUGAAGUUUGAAUAACAUUCUAGUACAAGACACAUGUAUGGCUAAGAAAUGAAGAAGCCCAAGUUGGUGGCUGUGCAUAUCGGCAAAGGGGCCUAUAAAUAGGCAUGCAACCACAAUGAAAUGUGGAGUCAACUAAUAGAACUCCCAAUCUAUGUGGGAGUAGAACCAAUCAACUCCCAAACUAUUAGGGAGCCCAGAGUUACCCAAAUCAAACUAUGUUGAGAGCCAAUAAGCUCACCAAUCAAAGUGUAAGGGCCAAAUAGCCCAAACUAUUCUAAACUAAGUGUGGUGGCCAAUAAGCCAAUAUGCUAAGUGUAGAAUAUCAAUUAGCCUACACCAAGUAAUGUAAUAUUCUCCUCCAAUCUAAUAAAAUCACUUUGUUUCCCCUUCAAUUCUAACAGAUACAAACAGAAGGCUAAAGCCACGAGGAGCCAACAGAACACAAGAACAAAUAACAAAAGCAGGGUCAGACAUAGCUAGAUUCCAACGGAGCCUAGAACAACAGUCCCUACCCAGCAAACUAGCUACUAAUAGGAAUUAAAACUAAACAGCAGAUGCAACAUGAGGUGGACAAGGCAAACCAUCAGAAGUUUACACCCCAACGAGAGGCAAUGGUGGUCUGUACUCUGUCGACAGAAAAUAAGAAAAUUGUAAAACUGUGCUUCCAUACUCAGAUUAAUACGUUUCUGCAAUGAGUAGAGAUAUAUUAUAAGUUGGCAGAAUUGAAUUCCCAAAGAGAAAGAGGCAGUUAUAUAUAUAUAUAUAUAUGUAGUAUGAAUGAUUGAAAAUCCAUCGAAACGUUACGUACGAAUAAUGUCAACAACUGUUCUCCCAUUUGAAAAUCUUCCUGUUGGGUUAUUCCCAAAAUCCAUUCCAUGGGGGUAAAAAUUUGCCUUAGCUAUAGUUCGAAGGUUGUUGUUGUUCCCCACAUCAACCAAGGAAUCGCCAAAAGUGAAAACAGCAGGAACAUUAUUUUGGGCUGAGCAGCUAACCAACAAAAACAAGUAGGCUACAAAAAUUUGGAAUAUAAUAUUUAUCCCCAUUAAUUUUAAGAUAGAAAUAACUUUUGAUAAGGGGGGUUGUUUAUAUACAACUUUUGAUACCUAUGGGAAUACUUGUGCCUAACUGGUCUGUGAAAUUCCCUCUCAAUUCACCAUUGAAUUUGUGCCUAACUAUCUCUAGGCCGGCCGCAGUGAUAUUGGAACGCCAUUAUUUCUGAGCUAAGUUCGUUAGGUGCCAAAGAAAAGAGGGAUCGGAGAACCCAUUUAAGAGCUUAAUACACUCUCUUUACGUUGUAUUUAGGUAGGAAAUGGAUUUCUUAGCUGUGUGGCCUGAACCCAAGGUUCUGCAUGGAAUUUACUGCCUUCAGACCACCUAUUGUCUCCUAAAUUAAAUUAAAUGUUAUCAUCAAAAAAAAUAAAUAAAUAAAUGUUAAGGUUCUGUAUGGUCUUUGUUAAAAAAAAUAUAUAUAUAAUCACAUUAUUAAACUUUUGUCUAACGGAUCAUGACAGCAUACAUAUUUCUCAACUAGUUUAGCGUCACCUACCAAUCGAUUGCACCUUUUAAUCUCAACAAAUUUUUACUAAGUAAUUAGGAGUAAAUUUUUUUCCUUUUAAUCUCAAUUUUUUUACUUGUUUUCUUUCUUGCAAUCCUUUACUUGCAAUUUGCAAAGUCCCAGUCUUUCUAGUAAAUUACUCUUCUUUGAAACAAUCGAACGAAAUGGUACUCGGCCUAAAUUGAGUCUGGAUAGCCAGCUGAGUGUUCAUCAGUUACUUGAGCAGCCUCUAUGAUGAUAAUGAUGGUCGUACUAGACCUAGACUGGUUGUUGCUUAAUUGGUUUUUGUUUGGGCGGUAGCCCUCCAUUCAACCAGAAAAUAAAUACAUAAAAAAAGUCCAACCAAAUGCCCUAAAUGUAAAUUCGACUUAAAAUUAGAAGUCAGAAACCGAUAGUAUAUCACUGGUUGAUUGAGUAGAGAGCAUAAGAUAAUUUUCUUUUUCUUUUUCAUACAAGUGAUAUUGGGAGAGGGGAGAAUCGAAACUAAGAUCUCAAGUGCAUGGAUAAAUGCUCUUGAGCUACAAGCCCCUUGCAAAGCAUAAGAUACUUACAUUCUUAUUAUAAUUCCCAUAAUGUUCUAAUGCCAUGUUUAUGAAGAGAAUGUUUUGAACUUAGGAUGAGGUUUGAAUGUUCUUGAGUUUAUUAGUGAAAAACUUAUAAACUUCAAAUUAAUGACAUUGAAAUGUGAAAUAGCUUGGAUUUGGUUCCAAAAUCUAUUUCAUCACAGAACCAUCAUGAGUUUUUGAAAAACAAACAUUUUGCAGUUUAUUCAGGGACUGCUAUGCUAGCUCAAGACUGAACAAGUUGCCUAAAAUUCAUAGGUGAUACAUAAUUUAAGCCACCAUCCAUAAUAUGCCUUGUUGCAAUAACAUUAGCAGCGUCUGUUAAGUGAAACGCAUCCCAGAAUAUAUACUUGGAUCUGUCGGGACAAAUUUUAGAAAAAGGAUUGCAUGGCACCAGUCCCACUCGGGUCACGGCAAACGAGCAGCAUGCAGAAGUUGCAUUCUCAAAGCCUGCAUACAGUGAAACACAACAACAACAACAACAGCAGCAGCAGCAGAGGUUAAAAUUGUGAUAUUAGUUAUUACAUGAUAAAUAAACAAAUAAAUGCCCCAAAAGAUAGAAUAUACACGCACCAUAUGACACAUAAUUUUUUGUGAGAUCUAGUAAUAUUUGGUAAAUAUCUACGUAAAUAAACUUUGCCCCUUGAAGAUCUUUGUUAAGCUCGGCAAGCAUGCCCUUCAACUUGUCGUUAUAUGUUUGAGCCAUACGAUUUAUCAGACGAACACAACUUCCCUUUGGAACUGGAUGUAUUUCUUUCUCAUAUGGAAUACACCCACUAGGUCCAGCGUUGGCGACGGUGAUCUUUCUAGCAUUCAAGUUGUAGAGUGUCUGCAAAGAAGGAACAAAAUUUAUAAAAAAAAAUUGUCAAAUUAAUCUGUACAAAACUACUACUAAAGAUUAAUGUGGUUAGUUUACAUGAGUCAAUAGUCUAAAUUAUUAAGGAAUUUUACUUACAGUGAGUGCUAAUUUGAGUCUUGAAAUCAAGAAAUCCAAAUAAGCUUCUUCGGACAUGGACAUGGCCAUGGGUGUAAACUCCCUGAACAUUAUAUCGUUAGAGCCAAUUACAACCCCAUAAAUGGCUCUUCUCAACAAUUUCUGAGCUGCAGGAAUGCCAAUCCUCGACAUGAUAGCAAGCACUGUUCUUCCAUGGUUACUUAUUUGCGUGUCAAAAUUGAUUCGUUCACCCUAUUAUAUAUGUACAUAAUAUUCUGACUUACAAUUAAUAAAAGCAAAUUGCACACCAUGGUAUGGUAUGUAUUAUAAGUUAAAAUUAGCUUUCUCAUAGCAUCAGGAAGCUAAUUUGAACGCAUAAUACAACUCGUUUAGUUCUGAAUUAAGACUAGCUAACUUCCUUAAAUCCAAAAACUUGUAGGUUUGGGAGAAAACUUACAAAGAAAUAUCCAGUAUAAUUGAAAAUUCCAGAGCCAGAGGAAGCAUAAUUGACACCCUGCAGAAGUGCGUCUCCAACAGUAGUUGGUGCCAAGUAAGGAGGAGUAAAUUGUGCGAAACCCAAUUCCUGUUCUGUCAUAACAAAAUGAGAAAGUAGUGAAGUUAAUUUAAGCACAUAUCUCUACAUUGUUGCAAAAAUAGUGUACAUAUAUAAAUUGUAAUACUAAUUUGCCAGAAUUGAAAGACUUGUCGUAUGAAUAUCAUCAAAACGUAUCUUACGAAGAAUGUCAAAAGUUGUUCUCCCAUUUGAAAAUUGUCCUCUUGGGUUAUUCCCAAAAUCAAUUCCAUGAGGGUAAAAAUUUGCCUUAGCUUGAGUUAGAAGGUUGUUGUUGUUCCCCACAUCAACCAAGGAAUCGCCAAAAGUGAAAAAAGCAGGAACACUUUUGUUGGCUGAGCAGCUAACCAACAAGAAGAAGUAGACUACAAGAAUUUGGAAUAUAAUCCCCAUUUCAUGAAAUAAUGAUAACCUUUCUUUCUUUUUCAUAAGGGGGUUGGUUAUAUAUGUGUGUAUGUGUGUAUAUAUAUAUAUAUAUAUGCCUAACUUGGUCUAUGAAAUUCCCUCUUUCUUCAUAUUGAUUAAAUUUGUGCCUAACUCUCUGUCGGCCACACAGUUCCAUUUGUUAUUUUUGCCUCCAUUAUUACCUUUAGAUUGACUUCAAUAAAAUUGCGUGACCAUUAGCAGAAGCCAUAAGGUCAGACUUUAAUGUCAAUACAGCCAAUGGUACUCUGAUUUCUGAGCCAAGUUUCAUAGCUAGGUUCAAAGGAAAGAAGGAAGGAGGCAGCAGAACCCAUAUUUGGGGAUUUCACUCAUCUUUCAGUUGGGCUUUGGCUAGGAAUUGGGUGUUCAUCGCUUUUGGCCUAUGCCUAAUGUCAUGAAAUUUACUCCUUCUGUAUAGGUAUAGACUACGUACCUCUUGGUCUACUUCAAAUUUUUUAAUCAACACGAACAAGAGAGGAGAAUACAAAUUAGGGUAUUCCACAUAUAAGCCCAUAUAAAUAGGGCCCAAAAUAUAGAAAAAUCCUACAAUAUUCAAACUCUAAAGAAAAAAUCCAUUUGACUUUUCGAAAUGACCAAAUAUAUAAUACAAGCCUUUAGAAACCUAAAAACAACACUCCAUGAAAGGCUUUUUUUUUUUUUUUUUUUUUUUUUCCCUUUUAAAAAUCAUAAUGCAAGGAUAAUAAUAGUAUUUCACACAUCAUUCAAAUUAAAAAUUGGUACAUCUGAUCCUUGUUGGGUUUUUUCCUUCAAUUUAUAGGUCAGUGUUUAUAUAUAAAAUCAAUGCAAGAAAUGAGGUUUAUUAUAAAUUUCUCUACAAAGUAGGGCAUCUUCAAGAUUAUGAGUAUUUAGGUUGUCUGCAUUGUUGGCAUGACUUGUGGAUAUUGACUUACUUUCCUUACACACCAAGAAUUCCUAUUAUAAUUGUAAUUGAUUUACUUUAAUUCAUGAUUUCCUACUGCAAAUAGAUUUAGGAACUUAUUAUUUACUUGCCCAUUCAGGUUUCGUUGUAUUAUAAAUAUGACCUCCUACAAGGAGAAGAAUACACAGAAAAUUCCCACAAACAAAUAUUCUCUCAUAGUUUUUAUAUUUUAGCAUGGUAUCAGAGCAGCGAUCUUGGAAUUGCUGACUCUAGUUUCAAACCCCCGCCGCUGCUAUGGGGGUUAAUGAUUUUUUCAACCCUCAUGGAGGUAGCACUACCGACUCCUUCUCUCAUUCUCCACCAACCAUCGUUGAGUUGAGUGCCCAGAUGGCUCCGCUCCUACAGAUGCAGACUUUGACCCCGAACCCGAUCCAGAAUCAGGAUCCUCUUUGAAAGACCCUGACCCCGACCCGACCCCGACUAUGACGACGACGACCCCGACCCCGACUCCGAAGACGACCCCGACCCCGACUCCGAAGACGACCCCGACCCCUACUCCGAUGAUGACCCUAACCCCGAAUUUGUCUCUGAUUCAGACCCUGAUCCCGAUUUCGACUCCGACUCCGGCCCCGACUCAGGUUCAGAUUUCGAUCCCAAUUCCUACUCCACCUGUAUCCUAUGCAUCUUCCGCUGCACAGAUUAUGACUACUAGACUAACGACCCCGACACAUGGACUAGAUUGCGCAUAUUGUGGUGAUCCGAGACGCACUUGUGAGACUUGUUUUAAAUCGCAUGGCUACCCCAAUUGGUGGGCUACUCUUAUAGAUCGAGGACAAUGCAAUAUGACCAGUAAUGGUACUGGUUAUGGAUUUCAUACUUCCGAUAAGAUUGAUUCCAGGAGCUGGAUAAUUGAUUCCGGUGCAACUGAUCAUAUGACGUUUGAUCCUGAUGAUUUUCUGAAUACUACACAACCUCGACGAACCUGUAUUGCAAAUGCCAAUGGUGUUACUUAUCCUGUGACAGGGGCUGGCACUGUUGCACUCUCAUCCUCUCUUACACUGUCUAAUACUUUACUUGUUCCAUCUUUAUCCACUAAAUUGUUGUCAGUUAGUCAGCUUACUGAACAAUUGAAUUGUUGUGUACUCAUUUACCCGAGUUUUUGUUUGCUUCAAGAUAUUCACACUAAGGAGAUUCUUGGUCUUAGUACUAAGAGAGGGGGGCUAUAUUAUGUCGAUGACUUCAGUCCCGGCAUGGCUAACAACGUGACACAUCCCUUUGAUAGCAAACAAAAGCAAAUCUGGUUGUGGCACCGUCGAUUGGGACAUCCGUCUUUUAGUUAUAUGAAGCAUCUUAUACCAGAUUUAUUCUCAGGUUUCAAGGACUCUGACUUCACAUGUGAUACUUGUAUUUUGGCCAAGAGUCACCGUGUGCCCUACCCGUUGAGUACGAACAAGUGUACUACUCCAUUUACGUUAAACCACUCUGAUGUCUGGGGACCUUCUCCUAUCACUGCUCCUUCUGGUGUUCGAUGGUUUGUCACAUUCAUCAAUGAUUGUAUACGGAUGACAUGGCUUUAUUUGCUGAAGAAAAAAAACAAAGUGUUUUCCUGUUUUCAGUCCUUUCACAAACAGAUGAAAACUCAGUUUAAUGCUCAAAUCCAGAUUCUUCGCUCAGACAAUGGUGGAGAAUUUGUCAAUCACGACUUUCAGACUUACUUCCAACAACAUGGAAUUAUCCAUGAGACGACUUGUCCUCAGACACCACAACAAAAUGGUGUUGCUGAACGAAAGAAUCGACAUCUUCUUGAAACCGCCCGAGCACUUCUGAUUGGCGCUCAUGUUCCUCGCCAUCACUGGGAUGAUGCUAUUGUCACCGCAGUUCAUCUGAACAACCGCAUGCCUUCUGGUGUACUGACCUUUAAAACUCCUUUACAGGUGCUUGCACAACACAGACCUCUACAUUCUGUUUUGGUACUCACACCCCGAAUCUUUGGAUGUGUGGCUUUCGUUCAUCUCCAUAAAAAUCAACGUAGCAAACUUGAUCCAUGUGCGCUUCGUUGUGUUUUUGUGGGUUAUGCCACUCAUCAGAAAGGCUACCGCUGUUAUCACCCUCCUACCCAACGAACCUAUGUCACUUUGGAUGUGACCUUUCUGGAAUCUGAGCUGUUCUUCCAUGACCCAUCAUCCAAUUCUACACUUCAUGGGGAGAUACGAAGUGAAGAGCAGAAUUGGAGCAACUUGGAAAAUAAAGAAAUUCUCCUUUGUACAGAAAUGAUUGAUCAUUCCGAGUCUGGAGCACGAGAUUACUCUCUGUCAAAAAGCGACCAAUCGCCCAUUCAUAGCGAUCAAUUGCCUGACCCACCUGAUCCAUGCGAAGAUAUUUCUGAUCCGAGUCUCACACCUAUAGACAAUACAGAACAACAAGAUGAAGACCCCCCCUCUAACUCAACAGUACCAACAGACCAAUCUCCUGAGAAUAUCCUUGAGGUAACUACUCCUACUAGACUUGUGCAUUUAGAUGAUAAAACUAUUGGAUAUCAAUUACCUUUCAGGCAAAAUUGUGGGAAGCCACCAAACCGUUAUUCACCUGAUAUUGGCAAGACAUCCAAGUAUCCAAUUGCAAAUCAUGUAUCUACUGAGAAGCUGUCUGAACCACUCAAGGCUUUUGUGCAUCAGUUGUCUGCUAUCCAUAUUCCAACCAAGGUCUCUGAAGCAUUGAAAGAUCCUAAGUGGGUACAAGCUAUAAAAGAGGAGAUGAAAGCCCUUGAGAAAAAUCAGACUUGGACAUUUGAGACUAUACCGUGAGGAAAAAAGACUAUCGGAUGUAGAUGGGUGUUUACUAUAAAACACAAUGCAGAUGGAUCUAUCGAGCGAUACAAGGCAAGACUUGUGGCAAAAGGGUACACACAGACCUAUGGUAUAGAUUAUGAAGAAACCUUUGCUCCAGUUGCAAAGUUAAACGCUGUCAGAGUCUUAUUAUCCCUUGCAGCUAAUUUGGAUUGGCCACUACACCAGUUUGAUGUAAAGAAUGCUUUUCUACAUGGCGAACUCACGGAGGAGGUGUACAUGGACAUUCCUCCUGGAUAUAAUACUACUCAGACUGGAACAGUUUGCAGGUUACGAAAAGUAUUGUAUGGAUUGAAACAGUCACCACGUGCAUGGUUUGGACGGUUCACCAUGGCAAUGAAGAACAAUGGUUUCAAACAGUGCAACUCAGAUCAUACUCUGUUCUUGAGACAUCAAAAAGGGAAGGUAACAGUAUUAAUAAUCUAUGUUGAUGAUAUGAUUAUUACUGGGAAUGAUAAACAGGAAAUAUCACAGCUACAAGACUAUCUGGCUACGGAGUUUGAGAUGAAGGAUCUAGGUGGACUCAAGUAUUUCUUGGGAAUUGAGGUGGCUCGAUCGCAGCAAGGCAUAUUUCUCUCUCAAAGGAAAUAUGUCUUAGACUUGUUGACAGACACAGGAAUGCUAGAUUGUAAACCUGCGGACACUCCUAUUGUUCAGAAUCAUCAUAUUGGAGAAUAUCCGGAUCAAGUUCCAACUAACAAAGAAAGAUACCAAAGGUUAGUGGGAAGAUUGAUCUAUUUGUCACAUACUCGACCAGAUAUUGCUUAUGCGGUGAGCGUUGUCAGUCAAUUUAUGCACUCUCCUAGUGAAGACCAUAUGAAUGCAGUUCUUCGGAUACUUAGAUAUUUGAAGUCUGCACCUGGAAAAGGACUUAUGUUCUCAAAGCAUGGUCAUCUAAAUAUUGAUGGUUAUUCAGAUGCAGAUUGGGCAGGUAAUGUAACAGAUAGAAAAUCCACAUCGGGUUACUUCACAUUCGUGGGAGGUAAUUUGGUGACAUGGAGAAGCAAGAAACAGAAUGUAGUAGCUUUAUCCAGUGCAGAAGCUGAGUUCAGAGGCAUGACUAAAGGGAUUUGUGAACUUCUUUGGUUAAGAAAGUUGCUUACUGAACUUGGGUAUAAACCUACAUCCACAAUGAAUCUCUUUUGUGACAACAAGGCUGCUAUAGCCAUUGCACAGAAUCCGGUUCAGCAUGAUCGUACUAAACAUGUUGAGGUGGAUCGACACUUCAACAAACAAAAGCUUGAGGUUAAAGUGUUUCAGUUUCCUUUUGUGAAAUCCGAGGAUCAAUUGGCGGAUAUUUUGACAAAGGCGAUUUCCAGUAAAGCAUUCCACAAUUCACUAGAUUAGUUGGGCAUUGGCGACAUCUAUGCACCAACGAGAGGGGGAGUGUUGGCGUGACUUGUGGAUAUUGACUUACUUUCCUUACACACCAAGAAUUCCUAUUAUAAUUAUAAGUGAUUUACUUUAAUUCCUGAUUUCCUACUGCAAAUAGAUUUAGGAACUUAUUAUUUACUUGCCCAUUCAGGUUUCGUUGUAUUAUAAAUAUGACCUCCUACAAGGAGAAGAAUACACAGAAAAUUCCCACAAACAAAUAUUCUCUCAUAGUUUUCAUAUUUUAGCAUGCAUUUUCAUGAAUUUAGGCUAUCCUCAUCCUUUAAUUAAUCUAAUGUCUCAAGUAGCUCUACGUCAAUAUAAAUCUUUUAGGCCCAACUCACCUUUAUGAUUUUUGUUUAUGUUCAUCAUUUUCUUCUCUGGUCUAUCUUCUCUUAUGAACCAAAAACCUCAUUCUAGUUUAUGUUAUCUAUCUCCUCUAAUAUGUCAGCCUCCCUUUGCACUCCAUUCCAAUCACGUUUGGUCUUGGAAAUAGGACUGUGAUUAUCAUUGUUCAUAAUCUUAGGUGUAUAUAGUUAACCCAACGAAUUAGUUCACAGUUUUGGGCUUCAAAUCUAUUGCCUCAAACAAAUUAGCAAACCUAAUUCACAUUGCUGAACAAAUUUUAUCUGCUGAUUCAACUAAAAUGCGAAAAGAAACAAAAAGAGAGCUUUAGUGAUAUACCCAAAAUAGAGGCUGAAAUUAUAAAAAAACCCUACAUGAAAUACACUUUAGAAACAUACCCAAAAAUCAUUUACUACAUACAAAAUGAGUGUUGAAUUUUCUAUAAAUUACAUGACUGCCACUAACUAACUUAAAAGAAGCCCAAUACAAAAAACCCAAAAAAACCUAAAACAAGCCCAAUCCAGAUUUUUAUUUUUUUUAUUUAUAAAAAAAACGAAAACCAAGGGCAUGCCCCUACGACCCUUUCUUCUCCAUCGAACCUCUGCAAACCAUGUCAUAGAAGUACAUUGUUAAUACCAUUUCAUAGGAAAACAUUGUUAAUACCAUUUCAUACAAAAACAUUGUUAAUACCAUUUCAUACCAAAAAAUAUAUAUAUAUAUUUUUAAUACCAUUUCUUACAAAAAGAUAUUGUUAAUACCAUUUCAUACAAAUAGAACAUUGUUAAUACCAUUUCAUACAAUAAACCAUUGUUAAUACCAUUUCAUAGAAAUACAUUGUUAAUACCAUGUCAUAGACGUACAUUGUUAAUAUCAUGUCAUAGAAGUACAUUGUUAAUACAAUUUCAUAGAAAACAUUGUUACUACCAUUUCAUAGAAAACAUUGUUAAUACCAUUUCAUACAAAAAAACUCAAAAAAAACCCAGUAAUACAUCCGAUAUUCUGUGCAGAAACGACCUCUAAUUGUCCAAAGUUUCACCAGAAAUCAUCGCAAAGGCAAAAGGAAAUACCUCUACAAGAAAAAAAAAAAAGUACACUGUUAAUACUAUGUCAUAGAAGUACACUGUUAAUACUAUGUCAUAGAACUAUUUGAAAGUGUUACCUUCAUUACCUUAGUGAUAGUCACAGAUUUUUAACCACAGCUCAAACCAAAACACAAGAUUAAAUUCACAACCAAACUGAAUCUAAAAUCAAUCCAAAUUAUAAACAACAAAAAAUUAAAAUCACAAUUCAAAACUCAAAUGAAUAUCAAAUACAAAUUACCUAAGUGGCCUAAACCGAAUCGUCAUCGAGACGCUAUCCCCAACGCCUUCACGAUGACCGCCACCUCAGUAGCCAACGCCGCCAUAUCCUCCGCGGCUGUAACCUCCGUUACCACCACCACCACCGUCGCUUCCACGAGAUUGGGCCUCAUUGACGGUUAUGUUACGGCCGUCAAGGUUCUAGCCGUUUAUGCCUUCGAUCGCGUCCCUUAUGGCCUUCUCGUGGUUGAAAGUGACGAAGCCGAAGCCCCUGGACCUCUCGAUCUCACGGUCGUUGAUGAUCUUCGAUUCGAUGAUCUCACCGAACAGAGAAAAGGCCUCUGCAACCCAUCAUUGUCGGUGGAGGAAAGAGUCGGCCUCAUGGAUCAGGACCCGAGUCCACUUCUUGAGUUGUAAAAUGACCUUGCCUAUGACUAAGAUGCGAGAGAUUGAGCUAUGAGAUUUGGAAAUAGCUGCAAGAUCUAUGAGAAAGCAAGUGAGAGAUCUAGAAAGCAAUGAAAAUUAGAGAUGCGGCUCUGACGGGGAGGUUAGUGAAAUCGGCAGUUCGUCGAUUUCUCACAGACCAGCUCCUAGAUUUUGAAGGAGCAAUCGCCGUUUAUCUUAAUUGAGCCUUGGAGCUGGGUUUAUUUUGGGCAAAAGGGCAAAACAAUAAUUCAACAUUGCUAUUAAAUUUAAAAAAUCUACAGCUGUCGAUUUUUGGGUUUAUUUUGGGUGUGUUUCUAUACUUUAAAUAGUAUAGGGUAUAUUUAUAGUUUCAUGUCUAGGAAUGGGUAUUUCACUAAUUUUGUAAAACAAAAAUUAUUACUUCACCAGCCACCAUAGCCUCUAAUCCGGUUAUUUUGUAAUAAUGUUUGAUGUUGUAAGGGCCAACAAAUCUUUCCAUGGCAGGGACCAUUUGACGGAACCUAACAGCAGGGACUAUUUGUGAGCACACAUACUAACUUUGAGGACCAUGAAUGACAAAAAAAAUAAUAAAGAUGCAAUAUAAUAGUUUUGUAAAUCUUAGAGACAUUUGAUGAUACUAAGCCUAUAUAUAUACACAAAAUGUGACAUUAUAAUUCCAACAUUCUCUUGAAAUUCUUCAAAAGUCAUAGCUUGGGUUUAAGUUUCGCAUUUGUUGCAAACUACAUGACUAUUCAAUACAUCAACGCUCGAGUCUCAUUACAGGAUUAGGGAGAGACAUAAAAUUAAGUUAAGCCACCAUCCGUACCUUAUCUCUUUAGUUUUCCUUUUCUUUUUUAGGAAAUUAGUCUGGCUUUAGUUAGGAAAUGCUGGGUUUAGGUUGCUACACAAAUUUUAGUUUUGCUUUGUAAAUUUUCGGUGUGUGGCCUUUGCUUUUGAGUUUCGGGGUUGUGUUCUUGUGUUUGAGCAUGUUUUGUUGGGCCUUUUAUUGCUCAUAGGCUUAAUUGAUCGUAUUUUAAUCAGAACAAAACAGAGGAUUUGAACAUGAAACGAGCCGAAAAGAAAAAAAUGUAUGUAUGUAUUGAAAAAUAAAAAGUAAAUCUUCUUGAUCCAAAGUUUGGAAAGCACUGAAGAUUCGAAUUCAACAUGAACUGAAUAGUUUUGGUAGCAACAAUGGUAUUGCAAUUUAAAUUAACAAACACCUCUGACUCUCAGUCCAAUACAUUGCAUAUCUUUCUAACAACACCUUGAUUCCCACUCAGGACACCAGAGCUAGAGAACUUGACAAAGGCAGAAGAAAAUGCCUGAAAGAAACCAUCCUGAUCGGCAGCAAAUCUCUUGACAGCGAGAGCUGUGCGCGGGUCCAUCACCAUUUCAGCAUCAACUCUAAGUACCCCAUGGCCUCUAAUUACAUUAUUGUAGUAGUGGUUGUCGAAUGUAAGUGUUGUAGGGUCAUUAAGAACGAAGCUUGCAUUUGAUGUCAAAGAGCCUUGAGGACAGUUUAUCCUUAGGAAUGCUUCAAACAUGGGCGCCAUGCCUUCUACACGCCCACCUUGAUCAAGUCUGCUUAGACGAUUUAGAAUGUUCAAACAAUGUGUCACCCCUAGUGUGUGCGCGCCUGCAAAUUGCAAUAAUAUGUUUUUGGACAUGUUAGUUUCAUAAAAAGAACAAAAAGGUUGGUUUUUCAAAAAAUGCGCACUGUUUUGAAGAAACCCAAUAGAACAAGUUCGUGUUGUUGUUACCCAUUAUGGCCACAGAUUCUUCGACUGUCAUCCCUUUCUUUGCAAAUAGUUGAAGCAUGCCAUCAACUCCGAUGGUGGCAGAAGGAAGCAAAGAAUCUGCAAGCUUAUAGCUUGGAGGAACAGAAGAGUCUCUUCUUCCCAAAGGAACCUUUAUCUGUGGCCCUCCUGACGCAGACACUGCCUCCCGAGCAGUUAAGACAAGAAUGUCGGAGCAAGAAACCUGUUGGGGACAUUCUAAUUCAACUAUUGACUUGAGAAUGUUGAUUGACUCUCUCUUUCUGAUACCAAAGUUUUUCCCUGCAGCCAUCUCCGAUGACACAGUGUUCUCAUUUGGAUCCACAAGAAUUGAAGCAUCACAGCCCUGUUGUUACAAAAUCAAACCAUCAUUUAUUGAAAAAAUAUAACUAAUAAAAAAUAGACUGCAGAGUUUCUAUUUUUAAGCCAUGCACUUCACCCUCGUUAUUUGGGCUUAUAUCUCAACUAACCCAUGCCUCAAAUUCCUAAACUGAGAGAGAGAGAGAGAGAGAGAGAGAGAGACAAAGAAAAAUAAAAAAAAGACCUGAACUUGGCAAUCAUGGAACAUGAGCCUCAACAGAGCUGCAGGAGCAGUGGGAUCAGCGAGAAAAAUAGGUUGGAGGGCAGCUCUAACAAUGGCCUCGACUUGUGGGCAUGAGUUCUCAUAGAAAUUAUAAGAAAGCCCUUGCCCUUCAGCUCCAAUGCUGAACACAAACAGAGAUAUGCCUACCACUAUAGCUCUCAGAUCCAUUGUGAUGAUUGGCUGGAGUAUUUAAAAAUAAAAUCCUAUGUGAACUUCAAUGCUGCUGCUAUGACUCCCAGAAAACAGAGGACUGUGGCACCACCAGUAGCAGUAUGUGAACUUAAAAGGAUGCCAGUCCAAUUUACCUCCAGUGGAGGGAUCAAUUUUCUUUUAUAAUUGUAAUGCAAUUAUGAACUUGUAAGGCAGCUUAUCCUGUGAAGUAAAUGCUAGAAUUCUACUUAUAGUUUGCCACUAAUAUUCUGUUCUGCAAAUUUUAUUUUGUUUACACAAACCCAGUUGGUAAGUAAUUAUAACUAAACCCUACCCUAAUUACAAUUUACAUCCUUCCCUUUUACCAUGGUGAAUGUCAAGUUCAUCCAUCAUGUGAAGGAUACUGUUUGCCUCCUUUCCUAAUCACGGUUUGAUACAUGUGCAAAAAUAAUUCAUUAAAAACACAAAAAGAAAAAUGUGUGAGAGCAUAUAGGCGUUGCUUAGCAUGUGUCUGACUAAUUCAUAAUGAGCAGUUGAGUCUGGCGGUGGACUGUACUUAAAAUUCCAACCAGAAUCCAAAUAAUGCAGCAGGCAAAAGUUUAAGGCUCAUUUCCAUUUCAUUGAGAAAAAAAAUCAGAAACGAGAUUUUGUUAGAAAAAGAAAAAGAUUGAAGCAUACGAGCCACAAAACAAGAAAAACUUCGACGAGCAAACGAGCCCACUUAUUAAUUAUCUGUCGGUCAAUAUCAGGAAGUUAAGCUUUUCAUGGUUGGUUGGUGGUGGUUCCCACAAACUUUGAUUGGCAUUUUGCAUUGUCAAAAUCAAAUAUGCAAUGCCUUUGAUGGGUUGAUCUUAUCCAACCCCUCCCCACAUUUUAAAUGUCUAUUCCAUAUUUAUUCUUGUAACUUUAAUUGGAUUUGAAGCAUUACUGCUCCCUGCCUUUGAGUAUUUCUGUCUUUGAGUAGAAGGUGUGUGAGUUUAGUAUAUUGUCUUUCUCAAAUGCAUAUUGUAUAUGAAUUUAGUAUAUCGCUUUUCUCAAAUGCACACUGCAUAUAAUUUGGUGCUUUGGUUUGGAAAAUGACCUGCAACUGCCGAAGUAAACGAAGACGGCAUCAUUCACAUGUUCAUGGCGAAGCCAUGUUUUUUGUUUUGUUUUGUACAAAAGAAAAAGCAAGCAUGGCUUUAAAUUUUUAAUCAAUAUAUACAUUCAAACAUCCAGAGGAGAAAUGUAAUGCCAAAAGAAGAGACACGUGUCGAGCGGAGAAUUCUAGAGACUGAUGACACACCGCUCUCAUCAAGAAUAUCGUGAGGCUGUUUUACAAUUGAUGAUCUUUGUUUUUGUUAGUACCACUGUAGAUCUUAUGGGUUUCACUGAUUUCGGUGGUUUGUUCUCAUAGAGAAUGCAUGUCAACACCUCAAUGCAAAAGAAUAGACCGAUCACUGCACUCCAACUGUAUUGUUUUGGACCCAACCCAACGCUCCUAUCUUAUUUAUGAAGUCUGAGCUCUCUUCAUCAGGCAGGCUCCACUUAAACCAAUUGACAUUGAAAUUACUUAAUAAAAGCUGACCAAGUGCACAAUUUUGGUAAUGCCUCUUAAUACCAUUUAUAGGAAGGUCAGGGGUUCGGGUAUUGUAAAGAAUUUUUUGGGGAGAGCUUUCUGUAAACAGCGAUCCGGUUCGGAGUGGUAGCCUAUUAACUACCAUUUUUUUUCACCAAAAAAAUUAAUAAGCUUUAGAAUUUAAGUAUUGCAAUGUUUUCUUCUACAGUGCGGAUGUCCAAAUGUUAUUACCUCCACAAUUAUUGAGAAGACUAUCGAUGAGAGAUCGUACAUAUAUGUAAGCGUAGUAGAAAAAGAGGAGAUUUUUUACCUCCACUUGACAAGCACACAUGUUCAAAGGCUAGAAAGCAUAGAGCACUUUCAAAGUUUCUAGGGUUGACAUAAGAUUUGUUAGAGCCUUUUGUAUUUAUACUUACCACUUUAAAUUCUAACGAAAUCGCACAACUCAUUUAUUCCUUCAAAAUAAAUGACUUUUUGAAUACAUCUAAACUUUGUUUAACUUCUAAAAAGUCAUAAUUGAAUACAUCUAGAUUUCGAUGUAUUUUUUUAAAGUCAAUUGAAAUCUAAAUUGAAUACACCCAAACUUUUACAAAUUCUUUUAAAAUCUUAAUUGAAUACACCUAGAUUUUUAAACUCUUUUAAAAUCUUAAUUGAAUACACCCCCUCCCAAAGAACCAAUUAGAAUAACAAGUGGCUAAUUUUGAGUUUUUCUCUCCAAAUAGGCUCUAUAUGAGUUUUUGUACGAUAUGUUAUGCUAAAAUGAGUUUUUUAAUAAAUAUCUAUAUUUUUUCUACUACCCCUCCUUGCUCUCCUCUAUGUUUACAAUGACGUCCGCACGAUAAUAACGUCUGGACGUCUGUAUAGGAGAAUAACUAUAUAUGUAUAUAUAAGUAAUAUAAACAUAUAUAACCAACUAGUUAUUCAUCUGCCAAGAAACCCUAGCCGCUCUCUCCCUCUGUGAAUCCUAAAGGAAAAUUCCAUAGAAAGGAGAGGAGGAAAAAACCGUCACUGCCCAUCAUCCCCCUCAUCUCUUCUCGUCUUUUCCUUUUAGGUUAAUGAAUAAGUCCACUGGGACGUUUUGAACAAAAAGCCCAUUGUGGUGGUUUCUUUUGAGUCAUGGUUAAGUUGAAGUUCAUCAUCACCCAUUUUAGUCUAUGCUCUCAAUCAAAACAUGUUCUCUAACGUCGUUCAUGUUCUCUAAAUUUGAUUCUACAUCGUUGUUGACGGAGGUUGCUGCAAAUCACUCAAUUGUUCUCUAGCAAUGUUGUUAUUUUCGUUUAUUUGUUUGCUCUUAUGCGCAGGUAAAUCACUGGAAAUUAUAUUUUCCCUAGAUAUGUUAUGAAUGAGGUGGUGGGUGUGGCCACAACGUAGGACUCGUCAAUGGGCGGGGCCGGGCUAGUCUGGCCCAAAUUUAAUGAGCUUGGGCCAAGCCGAGCUAGGCUUUAAAGAGGAGAGAGAAAAUAUCGGGCCGGGCUAGAUUUUUUUAGAAAAUUCAAAGCCAAGCCCGACCCAUGAGCCGAGCUUGAGAAAGCCCAUUGGCCGGGCCGGGCCUAAACGGGCCCUACUUCAUUCAAAAAAAAUCAUAAACUUAAUCAUAAGGGCAUUUGAGUCCAAAUUUGAGAUUAAACGCACUUAAUUCCAAUAUUUUCACAUCAAACCAAAUUCAUAAAACAUCCAAUAAAGUCACACAACUUAUAAAAUUUUCCACAAAAAUAAUAAAACCAAGUAUUAUUUUUGAGGUUAUUACAUAAUUAGAUCGUAAUACGUUUUAAGAAAUAAUUUUAAAAAAUAAUAAGUAUCAAAAAAAAUUUUUUUUUAAGGAUGGUAUGAAUAAAUAUGCAAAUAUUUGGUGCUGUGUUCAAGAAAAGCAUGAUUAUAUUUGGUGGUACGAUUAUAUUUCGUGAUAUGAUUAUAUUUGGUGAUGUGAUAUGUUGUUCAUCUUAUAUAUAAUUGUUGAAUUAAUAAUUCACACAAAUUAAUGUGCUAAUCAUCCAAUUAUAAACUAGGAAUGAGUAAAGAGAAGUAAAUGAAAUGAAACAAAUUAUAUAUGUGAUUUAAGUGAUAUAAUCCUAAACCUAAACUCAUAUUUAUACAUAAUUAUAUAUGUAUGCGGGCCUAACGGACAGGGUUUUUGUGGGCGGGCCGGGCCGAGCUUUUUUUCAAUGGGCCAGGUGGGCCCCCAUCAGCCCAUGAGCCCGCAGGCUAAAUGAUGAGGCCUACCACAACAGCACUUCUUCAGGUGGUGGUGGUAGAGUUCAUUUAGGAUCUUGAGUUGUUUUAAGGUUUUUGUUAUGUUGGGUUUGUGGGUUUUGUUUGGGUUUAUGAUUAAUUGUGGUGAUAUAGGCUAGUAGUUUUAGUGCGGCUUUUGUCCGUGUUAAUUUUAUUUUUAACAUGCUAAUUUGUUACUCUCUUGGAAUUAAUAUUUUAGAUGUCUUUGAUUGUAUCGUUGAAGUUUAUCUAAUAAAGUUUCUAUUUGAUUUAUUUUAAAAAAAGUAAUAUAUACCAAUUGUUUCUCUACCUGGUAAACCUCAAACUUCGUGCAAAUAUUUAUAUUGUAUUUAUGUUGAAUGUACCCACAACAUAGAAUUAACGUUUCUUGCUAUAAAAAUUCUGGACCAAAAUUGUAUGCAUCUUUUAUUUAUUUAAUGGUAUACAUGCAGUUGUAUGUUAAGCAACAAAAGAAAAUUUUGUAACCACGUCAUCAUUUUAAGACUGCCAUAUAUUGAACGGUUACACACGGACGAGCUAAAACCUACCUACAACGGUGUUUGUACACCAUUUGUGUGUGUUUCUCUCCCCAUUUUAGAACAUGUGCCUACCUGUCCACCCUCUCAAUUGCUCAUGAAAAACAAAGAAGUUGAAAAUAAGCAAAUGAAAAGAGAAGAACCAGACAAGAAUCCAACGGAGGCCCUCUAAAAUAGAUGGGAAUUUCGUUUAGCCAACAAUAAACCCCACUAUAUAAACUCUUGACCCAAAUUGAAGAUUUUGCUCUCCCUAAAACAUGGCUGGGUCUACAUCCACAACAUUCAUUACCUUGGCAAUCAUUUUUUCCAUCGCAGUAACUUUCACAAAUGUUGUCGAUGGAUUGACUGCGGAAACAGUAAUUGACUCUCCCCUGUUGACCCAAAAGAUUAACAGCAACCGCACCAUCAAGGUCGAUAUCAAUGGCAAGGGAGAUUUCAAAUCUGUUCAGGCUGCCAUUGAUUCUGUUCCUGAAGGAAAUAGUAAGUGGAUCAUCAUCCAUGUUAGGAAAGGGGUGUACAGGUAAUUCACCAUCAGUUAGAGCCUCUUUUGGAAUUAAUUAGUAAGUUUUUUUUUUAGGUAUUACAUUAUCUCUAAUGCAUUAUAUGUUUUGUCCGGCAGAGAAAAGGUGAUCGUACCACGUAGUAAGCCCUAUAUAUUCAUGAGAGGAAAUGGGAAGGGAAGGUCCGCCAUUGUCUGGUCCCAAAGCUCUUCGGACAAUGUCGAAUCUGCUACUUUCAGCGUCGAAGCUCCCCACUUCAUUGCCUUUGGGAUUAGCUUCAAGGUUCAUCAUCAUUUCCUUCUUCUACUGUUUUUAGAUGAUAAUCUAAACGAAACUCUCAAGCAAAGAAAAACUUAAUCAUUCUCUUAUCGGAAGCGAGGAUUAAAUUUCUGACUGUCUAUAUAUAAUUGAACGAUGAAUCAAUGUGCAGAAUGAGGCUCCCACAGGUGUGGCUUACACCUCGCAGAACCAGUCAGUGGCAGCAUUUGUGGCAGCAGACAAAGUAGCAUUUUACCAUUGUGCAUUUUACAGUACCCAUAACACCCUCUUCGAUUAUAAGGGCAGGCAUUAUUAUGAUAACUGCUACAUCCAAGGCUCAAUCGACUUCAUCUUUGGACGUGGUAAAUCUGUCUACCACGUAAGUAUUAGUACUCCAAUUUAUCAUCAUUUUUGUUUUUAUUUUUGGGGUUUUCAUAUUGUUAAUUUCACAAGAGUAAAUUAAUAUAAAUGUAUACAAUUAAUGCAGGGCUGUGAGAUCUUUGUGAUUGGAGACAAAAGGGUGUCAAUUAAGGGGUCUGUGACAGCUCAAAAUAGGGAGAGCGAGAAGGAGAACAGUGGGUUUGUGUUCAACAAGGGCAAGCUGUAUGGUGUUGGGGACACUGUGUAUCUUGGCAGGGCCAAGGGUGCCUUUUCCAGAGUUGUUUAUGCACACAUGUAUCUCUCCAAAACCGUCGUGCCUCAAGGCUGGACCAAUUGGAGCUAUGCUGGUGGCACAGAGUAAGAACCAACUAACUAACAUGUCCUUGUUUUUUUAAAUACAAGCAAUAGAAAUUUAAAAUACGAGGAAGAAUGGAAUUUCUCACAUACACAUACUAAUAAGGUGUUAUUGGGGUUCGAACCCGAGAUCACUUACGUUUCUCACACACACACUAACAUGUUGUUUUUUGUUCCCUUAAUUGUAUUGGUUGUUAUAUUAUGCCAAAGUUUUGGUCGACUAACACAGAAUGUUGUGGGAUGAUUAUGAAAAUGUACAGAACCUUAUACCAUGCGGAAUAUAAAUGCAAAGGGCCAGGAGCCGAGGCUGGAGGGCGAGCUGAAUGGGCCAAACAACUCACUGAAAAAGAAGCUGCCCCCUUCUUGUCUAUCGACUUCAUCAAUGGCCAGGAAUGGCUCCCAGUGUGGCUAUGAAUUAAUUAACCCUUAAUUAAUUGAUGUUUGUUUGUUCAUGAACCUCGAUCAUUAGAUCAUUAGCCGGGAGUUUACGACAUUGAUCGAACAUGCAAUGCAAGAGGCUCAUAUAUGUUUGAUUAAUCCCUAUAAUUUCUUUCCAUAUACAAAUGUAAAACUCUGUAUUAUAAUCAAAACUUACAUUAUGCAGAUAUAUAUGUGGUUCUAUCCAAUCCAUUAUCCAAUCAAUUGCUAGCUACAAUCUAAUUCAUGUUAAUUCUUUCAAGCUUAUUACUCAAUUCAGAUUCUAGCUUGUACUACAAGUAAUGUCAGCAGUCGCUUGUUCCAACAUUGGGUUUUAUAAAUCAGAAUAUAUAAAUGUUGGUUUUCUACACUACAAGAAAAAAGUCAUUUAACAACGCACAUUGUGCGUUGUGAAAACGUAUUGACAAUACACGGCACACGUUGUUGAAGCCGAUAUCAUUAGAAGCUCUAUGGCUUUCAAUGAUGCACUUUGCAUGUUGUCCUUGAUUUGAUCGCGUGUUGUAAACACCAGUAAUGGCAACGUGCGCAUGUUGUGAAAGUAUAGAACAACAACGUAUUCUGCAUGUUGUUGUAUGUUUGAUUGACAACGUUCAUGCGCGUCUUGUUGUUUUACAUUUCAACAACACUCUUUGCACGUUGUGAUAUUAAAUAUUAUUACUUUUAAUAUUAUUUUUAGAAUUACUUUAUAACAAUACAAUCUAGCCAAGUAUAACCAUUUUCUUCCUUUUCAACCAUAAGAUAACCCAGAAUAGAGUUUUCAUUAAGAAAAAAAAUAGCUCCAUACAUAUUAGAAAGAUCAACAAAUCCAUUGUCAAGUUACAUUUGUCCAAACGGAAAUGAAGGGAAAUUGUACUAUCAGAGUAAUUCAACUUCAACAUUUUGUUAAGCAUGGUCUAGCAAACUGAUUAGUUACAUUUCAAAGUCUUGAAGCACCUGAAGAGAUCCAAGAACCGAGCAUCCAAGCAAGAAUGGUGCACCUAUGGAAACUCAUUUGAUUGUUUGCUCCCGUGUCGUUAUCUAGUAAAAAAUUCCAUAAGGCUAUGAGCAAAUAAAAAAAAUAGACAUAACCAAAAUAAUAAAUAAAUAAUAACAAAUUAUUCCAAUUGCUAAGAAGUCUACUGUCAAAAGCAAUGCUUGCAUAAACUAUAAUGUAUCUCCAUGAAAAGCUAUGAAUAUAUAUAUAUAUAAUUCUUUUCGGAGAUUUUACUACACAUAUCUAUUCUAGUACAAACCAGCUAUUAGCAUGCAACUCUGGGCAACAUUUUGCGAAGUCAAGGUGAGAUUCUGCCAAAAACUGUAAGACAUUCACUUUACCACAAAGUAACACUAUAUACAAGUACCACACCAUGCAUCAUAUUAAAUAUCUUGUCACCCACUGCCUAUAAGAUGCCUCACCUGAUAAACGGACCAACCUCCAUUACACUACCAUAAUUCUUCUUCACAACCUAAUUUCAAAAUACAUCUUUCCCACCGCCUAUUAUCACCUCCAUUUUCCCAUAUACUGCAAGAUUCAGCAACAUUUAAAACAAAUUGUAACCCAACCAACCCAGUGGUAUCCACAAUCGCCUUGACCAUUCCAUUAAAAGAAAUGGUGGAUUUUGUAAAACAGUUUUCAAGCUACAAGUGAAGGGCCAGUAAAUGAAGACAUUAAUAGAACAUUUUAACACACAAAUACAAUCAAGAUUUCAAGAGAUUGUAAUAGACGGAUGUAAUCAGGGUAAGUAGGCAACUAAAUCUCAGAGAGUGACACAACAGAGAGAUCAUAUAUAACAACCUCAGGAUGAUGCACAACAUGCUCCAUCUGCUUCAGUCACUUUCAAAUUUCCUCAAGAUUUUCCCCACAAAAUGACAUUUAUGUGAACCUAUAAACUAGACAAAAUAAAGAAUGAACAGAAACAUUAAGGAAUGAACAUUGCACCAGAGUUAGCAGCUGCAAACAUAAACUAUAAUCUAGAGUGCUUAAGCAGAAAAAUCACAUAGACUGAAUUGAUUGAAAGUCUUGUGUUUACAAUAUUGUUGACCUUAUUCUUGUGGAAGGCUUUGAUGGGUCCACAUAGAGCUGAAUAGCAGACAAAUAAGGAACAUAGCACAUAACAGAGUCACUCCCAUUUUGUGACCCAUGCACCGUACGCACUCCAGUCCUUGAAAGACUCCCAUAAAUCUCCAUGUACAAAGUCGGGAUGUAACUCUGGCUCAUGAGUCCUCCAUCUCCUCACUCUUGUCUAUCCAUCACCAAAAUGGGACCUUAUGAGAAAAGCAUGUAUAAUUACAGUAACAAUAAAUAUUAUACCAGGUAGAAAACUUGAAAACCCAAUACGUAUAAUUCUUCAAGUAGAAAACUUUAACUAAAGUUAGACAGACAAGUUGUAUUGAGCUCAGUUUGGAGUGUUUAGAAGUGAUAAAGAUAAUCCAAUACUCAUAGUACUUUCUCAUCUUCCUCUGAUUCUAAAAAUAAAUAGUAUACAUGUACACAUACACGUCUCUUCUUCAGUUAGACUCUCAUAGUACUUUAUAAAUCUCUCCUCUGAAGGAGAAAUAACACACAAGAUUUAACAAAAUGGCAAGACAAAAAAAAAAUAGAAAAUACAAAGAACAGAAAAUAAAUAAAUAAAUAAAUAAACCCAGGAGAUUUGUACCAUUCCAAAACCCUUUAUCUGUUCAUGCCUUUGUAAAAAUUUACAAUUUAGGUUAUACACAAGAAUUCAUAUAAAGCAAAUCGAAGAUAUAAAUAAGCUACAAACCAAACAUAACCCAAAUGAAAAUUAAUCCCUAAUUUUCAGUAACAGGACAAAAAGGGAACUCAAUUACCCGAUUGCAGAUAUCGAAGAUGAGCAACUCCAAAUCAGAGCGAGCCAACGGUCUGCGUCUGUGCAGUGGCGUGAGACAUCGAGUAGGCGGCGAGGGCGGUCCUCAGAUGCCCAGCCCUAAAAGUUACUGAUAUGAGAGAGAGAGAGAGAGAGAGAGAGAGCUUUUGCCAUGGAGGCUUGAGGGAUGGUUAGAGUUUAGAUUUCGUGGGUCUUUGAUGGAAUUUUUAAGAGUAGAGAAAAAUUUGGAGAUUGGGUUGUGAGUCGUGACGAUGGAGAGAGAGAGUUUUUAAAAGAUGUAGAGAGCUUGUCAAAUGUUUAGAACAUUUCAGAUUUUGAGAGAAAGUGAGUCUCUUUUUUUUGUUUGAAUGAGAGGGAUUUUUUCCCGCAAAAAAUUUGGCUCUUUUUUUUUUAAUCAAUUUUUUUCCCCUUUUUUUUUAUUAUUAUAGAAAAGUGAUAUAGUUUUGACAACAUACUAUGCGUAUUGUUGAACUAAAUAUACAAUAAGAAGCCAAAGUGCAUUGUCAAAAAAAUCUCUAAAUUUCGUUUCAACAACGUGCCGUAAAUACACGUUGUUAAACUCUAUGUACUACAACAUACUAUUGCAGCACGUUGUGAAAGCCCAUCUCCACAACUCACAACCUAUGCAUGCACGUUGUUAAUGACAUGUUGUUGUAGAACAUUUUUCUUGUAGUGCUAUUUGAGUGUUAAUAAAUAAAUAUUUUGGUUCUUGCCUUCUUACGUUCAGUUAUGGUAGUCGUUUAGGCCAAAGCUUGAGAUCACAAAAUGCUUGCAUGGAAGAUCUAAAUAAAAGCUAAUGGAGAAGCACGUUACAGCUCUUCAUUUAUUCUCUAUAGUUUAAGGGCAAUACAUUUUCAUGCACGAUAGCAUACAACACACGACUUUUGCAUGCUAACUAGGGCUAAAGCUGAAUUUGGGAUUUAAAAUCCACCACCACCAGCACCGCCACCAAAUCCACCACCAGCACCGCCGCCAGCUCCUCCUCCUACACCGCCGCCUUUGCCACCCGCGGAAAGCCUCCACCACCACCACCACCUGCACCACCUCCA